AGAAAAGCAAAAGGAAGGCCAAACCAACUCCAAUGCAAAUUUUACAAAGAACAUAGUCUACAAAGAAGUUCUCAGCGUGUAGUUCAAGGUAUGAAUCACUCGAGUACAAUUCGAUGGCUGUAGAAAUUCAAUCUAUCUAGAUUACUAGGGUCAAUCAUCUAAAAUUGCUUUCCAGCUAUUAUGGUUCUGAAGUUUGUGUAGAGGACUUUAAGAAAAACAACUAAGAUGCUUGCAUUAGCGUUCAUGAUAUUUUUUGCAGAAAAUAUUAUACAUGUAUUCAAAUUGUUUUUGGUAGUUUUCUUUAUUACUUCCACUGUUCAAAUAAUUUUGGAUGACACCUACAGCAGGCCGUUUUUCAUCGACGCCCCUCAUUUGCUUGGUAGCUCCACAUCAAAAAUUUCAAUUCACACCUCGAAUAUUUAUUUCCUUGCUGUCUAUUAUCGGCAUCUUUUUUUUUGUGUAUGUGUGGAAACCUGGUUGAUGCAAGAAAGUGAAAAGAGGGCCAGUACUGAUGUUUUUGUAUGCAUAAUAUGUGCAUGUGCAUUCGCCCCUUCUAUAUAUACACAUGAUUCAAAAGCAUGUUUUACUGUACAUUUUGUUCCUUUGCUUGGUACAAAAUGCAUUGCAAGUGUUAUUCAUUGUUUUUUCCUUGACUAAAUAUACUACAAACCAUCUACAGGCUAAUAUUUGUUCCUUUCCCUGAAUAUACCUGACUGUUACGUAUGCUGUAUUGAUUGUCUAAUAUCCUUUAUUCUUUUUAGGUGAGCAGAUGGAUGAUGUGAGAGUCCCAAAACUAAUAUGGUUGGCAUAAAUGUUUUGAGCAAACAACUAAAGAGGAGUUCACAGGGCUUGCAUUUGACGAAGCCACUGUUCGAAGGAUGCUGGCACAUGGCACAUCAUUUUGCCAUAGUAAUCUUGCUUAUGGAGCCCGAUUAUUUUGGUUGUACUUGUAUGUACUCAUGUAUGCAAGUUAUGCACCAAGUGUUUUAUUUUAUUGUUUUCUCUUUUCUCAUGUGAGUUAUCGUGGCUUGUUACUGGAUGUGAUAUGUUUGUGAGGUGCUCAAUGUCUUUACCAUUUCUAGCAGAUAAUUGUGUGCGGGCUGGAGUUGUAGUCCAUGUUAAGCAAACAGAAGCCAAAGACAGGCAAAUGGAGAGAUAAAGCUGGUGAAUGUUGUCACAGUUGCUACGUGUGUAAGUUGCUACGUGUGUAGACGAAUUUUAUAUUUGCCGCAUGCUCUCCCCUUGAUAUAGGAUAGAGCGAGCAAUUAGAGAGUUGAGUAGGGAGAAGGGUCUUCCUACGAGAUGUAGAUGGACAAUAAAGAGUUUGGCUUCAUGACGAAGGGGUUCAUCGAUUAAAAAACAUAUGUUUGAUUGUGCUCGAUGUCUAUUUAUCAAUAAUAAUAUAUCACUACUUUAAUCAAUGUAUGAGUUCCUGACUAUAACUUAGGUCCACCUUAUCUUUUUUGAUCCCGUAGCGUAGCACGGGCAUCUUACUAGUAACACAAAAAAUCAUCUCAGGAAUACAUUUCCCUACACAGAAAUAUAGCAGGAACAGAGGGAAUAUACAAUAAAGAAAAUGAAGGCACAUCUGCUACUAUCAUAAUAGUACAAUGUAUUUUUUUACAGAACAGCCUUUUUACGGAAUAUACAAUAGAGGGAUUUCAUUGCUCUCUCUUACGAGACAUGCUCCAGCUGCCACAACUUGCCAUCCUACAAUGAGAGGUAUAUAACAAUGGACUUCAUGAACAUUAGAGGAGCAAACGCUCAAUCAACACCAAGGGCUAGAUAAAGCCUUAGCUAGCAUGCAUUCGAAAUUUAGACAGAGGCAAUCAGUUACAGAAAGUAAAUGAGGACCAGACUUUACAAUUACAGUACCAUAGGACAAAUCCAUCAAUCCACGAGGCAAAAUAUGAGUGAAUCCAAAAAGAGGCAGAAAGGAAUACCUAUUUUGAUCCAAAGGGGCUCGUGAGCAUGGCCAUCUUCCGUAAGAGGUUGGCCCUAGCACCCUGGAUCAGACGCGCUGGGAGCUUGUAGCUUGUCCUGGUCAUACUGCUAUCCUAAGUAACAGGAAAAAUCAAAGCAACAGUUUGGACUUGGUGUUAACGAACAGACACUGUAAAUCAAUAGCAUAUAAAGCACCAAUUUCCUCGGAUGCAAGGAGAAGAGGAGCAAAACGACAGAGAGGUGGGACAUUUUUCGUACCUAUAGAUGAUAUUCACAGCCAAGGAAGAUACAUGGGGCCAGCCUUGCAUGUGUGCUUGCUUCACCGGUACAUGCAUCACCAUAGCAGCCAAGUAAGUAGGCAUCAUCAACAUCUCCUCACCACUUUCCUGGCCACAAACAAAGAGUCAAAACAAAAUAUAUUAGACCAUAAUAUGACACCAGAGAGUAACUGUAAAUCACAAAGUAUAUCCACAACACCAUAAAAUAGUCCCAGACCCUAGUGCUAUUUGAGUAUAUCGCAUGUAGUUUAUUUUCAUGAAGGGUUGUGUAUGCACGAUAAAUCCAGAAAUAGGAGGAGGAUGGCUUAUCAACAAACUGAACUUAGAAAUGAAACUUUGUAAUGCUCAAGUUUCAGCUAAUAGGGAUUACAGAAUUUUACAUGGGACAAAUUCUUCUAGUUGCAUUUAUCACAGAUAGAAGAGUUUAUAGUGAAUAAACAUUUGCAAUCAAAGACACAGCCUGGAACAUAUUAAUUUCAAGGUGCAGUUUGUAUACAAUCGAACAUCUUAGGUUGUAUACUACUCAUGAUAAUUCCACUGAUCUACGGAGUCAAGGCAUGCAACUCAAGAAGGUAUUUCUUCACUAUUACAGAAAUAUAUCAUUGUUAAUGUAAAUGAUCUAGAAUAAAUAUACAGAUAUUACCACAAACACCUAUCAGGCAAAAUCCCAUCGCAAGUGAACUCGAACAUGUGCUGGACACACCCAAAAGAAACACCUAGUCGUACAACUUCGUGUACAAGUCACCUGUGCCCAAAAGAAACACCCAGCCACCGCAGGCCAUGGUUAGACAGCAGCUAGCACAAUAUAAUUAAUAGCCAGCUAAAGCUUAAUGCAAGAUCAUAUUCAUAGUUGGCAUGCAUCAAUACAGGAAUCUACAAUGUUGGAUAAGGUGAUAAAGAAAAAUAGAAAUAGUGGAGUUAGAAACAUAUGCAGCACAAUGAUAAAACAGAACAAUAGAUUUAAUGUGUAUAUAUUCUGUUUGCUCUGCUAAUUGUUACAUGAUACACUCGUGUGUGUAUAUUCUGAUGAGCCAUUACCAUCUAGACAACAACAACAUGGACAUAAUACUAAUUACCUACACAAGGCAUCAAUACUCUACAUGAGAAGGCCACGGUUACUCUUUGGAGCAGUAUGAGAACGACAAGCAUUGCAUCCUUGCCCUUUACUCGAGGCUCCAGGACACAAUAACAACAUCAACGCCCACCUUUUUUUGCUUGAACACACACCUAAACUAGGGACACAAGAAACAAAAAGGCUAAAUUGCGCAGACACCCAUCUGGACCUAAAUCAACAUCUUUACCUACAAAGAGAAAUGGGGACAGGCCAUAGAAUCCCCUCAUGUGAAGGCCAUAGUUACGUUUGGAGCAAUAUGAGAAAAGACAGGCAUUGCAAGCCUGCUCUUCACACAUCAUUAGACCUGCAAACAACCUUGCAGGUAGCUGGCUCUCACUUAACUAAACAUGCAGGCAAUGAAAGCACCCAACAUUUUUAUUUUAGCAGCCUGAUUAAUAAAUUUAUACCAAACAAACAGAAAUUGCAAUGACCUAGUAUGAACCAUGUAAUACAUACACUUCAAUAUGUAUCCUAGUUUAUCGUCAUCACCUCAUGAGCUUAAUAAUUACAUAAAGUAAUUAUCAUCAUAUCCAGAAUUACAAUAGCAGCAGCCAGCACUAGGACUACCAAAUUGAUUCAAAGUUCUUGCCAUUGUGCAACAACUAGAGCUCUCAACUACUAGCUCCUGGUACUAGCUGAUCUGAAUGUGUAAGAAGUUUGAUAUAAAAUGUGAGUAGAACAAUUCUUCAGAGCUAAAUGUGCAAUGAGCUUCUGAAUAUUAUCACUUUGGAGGGUUACUAUUCUUAGUUCUAAGAAGCCAAGACAACAUCAAGCUUAUAAUCAAUCCAAGAUGACAGCAAGUCCAAGAUCUUAUGGCCAAAGCAGAAAUUUCCAUGGCGCCAAGGCCAUCAUAAGAUUUACCACAUAGAGCAUGGGAGAUAAGCAGAGGGGAGGAAUCAGUGGGAUAACUUAGAGGAGAGAAGCCGACGGUGAGGACGGCCAAGGCGAUGGACCACCUCCCCUUGCAAGUCAGCCUUGUAGUCAAUCCACCUCCCCAUGUGCAUGACGACGGCCUCCCACUCGGCGACGUGCUUGGUGACGAUGCUGCAACAGGUCUUGUUGUACUUGCCGAUGCCGAGGUCGAGCUUGUCGAUCUCAGCAUGGGAGCUUGCUGAUGCCCAUCCAUGGGAGCGUCUGCGACGACGUCAUAGUUGUACCUUCAAUCCAAAGCACAAGAUCCAAACGUUAGAAAAGAACAGGAAUAGUACUGCUCUACCAACUUCACUUUUUGUUUCUGGAAAUAUAAUUGCUUGAGCUAAUUUGAAAGAUACAAAAAUUAAGUUGGAACCAUUUUUCCCUUUGCUGUUGAGAAAUGUCCCAAUCCAUUUAGUUUUUUUUACAAAAGACCAAGAUCCCAAAAAUUACUUUGGGGGGGGGGUGCUCAAAACAGUCUAUAUGUGUGGUGAUUUUGUUCAAAUUCCUUCAUACACUAGCACCAACAGCUGGCCUUUUCAAUCAAGAGAAAAAGAAAAAUGGCGACAGAGAAUUGGAGGGCAAAGCACAUGCUUGGCGUUUUUCUUUACUGUGUGAGUGUGCGUGUGCUGUGUGCAACACCAAACUGACUGACAACCGAGAUAUUCACCAGAGGCUCCUUGAGCAGAAUUUACAGGCCCACUCCUACACAUACAUUGCUAAGCUACUCCCAUAUAAAUCCGCAGCAGCUUUUCCUCAAGAGCAUAGGACUAGUAGGAUGAAGCUGUUGCCAAGCCUAACCCAUGCAUGCACGGUACUCAUUUGGCAGCGAAGCGCCGCGCGACGUCGCCCUCCGCCGCGGCGAAGAAGGCCUCCAUCUCCUCCGCCAGCGGCGACCUCCCCUUCUUCGCCUUCUUCGCCCUGCACACCAUGACAAACAGCAGCCAAAGCGUGAGUAGAGGAACUCCACACGCAACAGCACGGCUUGGAACGGCCAGCACCGUGCCGUGAGGAGAAGGAAGGACGAGGGCUGGAGACUGACAAGUCGGCGGGGAGGCCGUGGCAGUCCAAUCCGAAGUGGCGCAUCACGUGGCGCCCGCACAUCCAUUGGCGCCCCUUGACGACGGCCGCCCCGCCUGAGAAGAGUUGAAGCCCUCCCGCACCAGCCGCGUCGUCGGAGGGGGGGGGGGUCUGUCCUGGCGGCGCGAGCCCCUCCCACUCCGCCCGUCUCUGGUGACUUGCCAUGGUCGCCGCCGGCUAUGGGGUGAGGAAGAUAUGCGCCAUGGCCGCCGCCGGCUGACCUGCUUUGGAUCCUUGCCAUGGCCGUGGGCAAAGAGGUUGUUGGGAGGAAGGGGCGCCGGCAAAGGAAGGGAGGAUGGAUGGCAUUGGGUGGCGGAGGGGUGGCGGCGGCGAUCUGGAUCGGGGAGAGGGAGGCGGAGGCGAUGUGGAUCUGGAUCUGGAUCGAGGGACUGAGGGAGGAGAUGUGUCGUGCGCGUGCGUUUAGGAUAGGUGGGAGAGAGACGCUGGAUCGAGGGACUGAGGGAGGGUGUGGACGGCUCAGAUCAACUACAGUGGGGGGUGAUCCGUGGGCUGCCUUUUGAUUGGUUCAAAAAUAUAAAAUUAUUUCUUAGUGCUAAAAACAGGGGGUUUUGUGAAGCAACUACCAAAACUAUUCUGCAAAUUGGCAUCACUAAUUUUUUUUCACUUAAUAUAGACCAUAUUUUAUGGAUGAUUACCAAUUUUUAUGCAUUUCCGAUCCUUCUAGCUAUUUUUGGUCAUUUAAACAAAUUUCCGCUGAUUCGGUAGAAAGCGGGUCAAAUUUGAACUACAGGUGCCUCAUACUUUCUCUUUAUUUUUCUCAAAAAUAAUUUCUAGGUACAUAAGUAUCUAUUUAAUCAGAGAUACUUCAAUUUUUUUGCAAAAUUCGACCCUUAGCUUUGAACGGUCAUGCCCGUUGUUUUGACCGCAUUUUGAAACGAGCAUAAAAAAUUCAAAAAGAUUCAAAAAAUUGGAAAACCUUCGCAUUGUGUCAUUACAUGUGACCAAGUUAUUACGAAAAAUAAUAAACUUGCAAUACAUCAAUUAUUUUUAAAAAAGUGUUCUCAGAAACGAGCUACCAUGUGUGGAGAUCAAUGGCUUCCAAGCCAAAUGAUCAAUCUUAUGGCCACAUUCAUGGCAUAGUUUGUUCAAAUGAUCUCAUAUUAUGCACAAAGGUGCAUAUUGGAAUGAUAAACAAUGUUGCCUAAGGAAGUUUUCGUUUUCAAUGGCCGAAAAAAUCAUUUUCCAUUUUCCGAGGGCCCAAAAUGAGUUUUUUGUGUGAAGGACCUACCAUAUAUUUGUUGGAAAAUUGGACCAAAUCAUUUUUCUAAAAUACUAGGACAUAUUUAAUGCACAAUUGACCAAAUGGUUGGGUGUAAAAAGUUUUGAUCCACCUCUCGUGAAAAAGACAAUUUUCCGCUGAUUCAGCUGGAAGUGGGUCAAAUUUGAACUGUAGAUGCCGUGUAGUUUGCUCUUUAUUUUUUCCAAAAAUCAUUUCUAGGUACAUAAGUAUCUAUUUAAUCAGAGAAAAAACAAAAAAUUCGAAGAUUCAACCACUAGCGAGGAAUGGUCAUUCCGAGCGUUUUGACCGCAUUUGAAACGGGCAUAAAAAAUUCAAAAAAAAACAAAAAAUUGGGAAACCUUCGCAUUGUGUCAUUAUAUGUGGCCAAGUUCCCAGGAAAAAUAGCAAACUUUUAAUACGACAAGUAUUUUAAAAAAGUGUUCUCAGAAACGAGCUAUCACGUAUGGAGAUCAAUGGCUUUCAAGCCAAAUGAUCAAUCUUAUGGCCACAUUCAUGGAAUAGUUUGUUCAAAUGAUCUCAUAUUGUGCACAAGGGUGCAUAUUGGAAUGGCAAACAAUGUUGCCUAAGGAAGUUUUUAUUUUCUUUGGAUGAAAAAACCAUUUUCCAUUUUUCGAGUGCCCCAAAGGAGGGUUUUUUGUGAAGGACCUCCCAAAUAAUUGUUGCAGAAAUGGACCAAAUCAAUUUUUUAAAAUACUAGGACAUAUUUAAUGCACAAUUGACAAAAUGGUUGGGUGUAAAAAGUUUUUAUCCACCUCUCGUGAAAAAGACUAAUUUCCGCCGAUUUAGUUGGAAGCGGGUCAAAUUUGAACUGCAGAUGCCUCAUAGCUUGCUAUUUAUUUUUUUCCAAAAAUCAUUUCUAGUUACAUAAGUACCUAUUUAAUCAUAAAUACAUGGUUUGGUGGCAUACGUCGAGGUUUGGGCGGUGACCAAGGGCCCCAACUCUAGAGCGCGUAAACUCGCAUGCCCACCGCGUGGUCACUGCGUGACCGUGGCAUUGCCAUGUGUUCUGGGCGGCCUAGGCAUGUCUAGUGGGUUGGGCACUCCCCAGGUAGGUGCUAGGAAGAUAAUUAUGACAUAAAAUUCUCACGAGGAGACCGAUCGAUGCUCAAACAUGAAUUAGUAGCCAAGUAUUUGAUUAGCGGUACAAGAGAUGUACAUGGAUAAUGGGUGUGAGUUUUGGCUGAGGAUGAUUAGUUACUAAGAAGACCGUCUUCACAAAUUUUCAGCUCAAAAGGAGGAUCCUAGGUGGUACUUACUUUGCAAAGUACCACACCAGACAUAAAUACGAAUGUUGAAGCUGGGCUCAAAAUAAUGAAUGGAUUGAGCUGGCAUUUGGUGGAGGAUGGUUAUUUGGGCAUAGGAAAGCACUGUAGAAAAUGGAUACUAUUUGGACAUUCCAAAGUGGUACUUCCUUCACGAAGUGCUGCUCUGAACAAAAUAGGAAAAUGGAUAUUGUUGAAAUACUUUUGAACUAGGCAAGGAAGGUUUUUGACAUAUUUGAAGAAGAUAUGAUCCAAACAAUUUAUGAGAAUUUUUUGCGAAUUUUUGGAAUAACAGAAAUAUAGGUUGCUUCACAACCUAGGGUAAAAAUUGACACAUGGACAUGACACAUAGGCAAAACUGAUGAGAUGGCGCCUAGUCAUCGCAACCCACCACAAUUUACAUGGCUAUGACCAUCUAUAUUGGUCGUUGACAACUGGAAAUAAGGCAGCGGACUAGCGUUGUUUGCUUUAUGACCAUUUUGUGUAAGAAAUUACGACCUUUCUAAUCAAAAUGGUCGCAAUGGUUUAGGGUUUGGAGCCCCCCGAACAGCUUUUGACCAAUUGGUCUCAAAUGGUCAUAGAUCUAUGACCAAUUCUUCAAGGGCCACUAACAGAAGGUCACUAGUUGACAUAUUUCUUGUAGUGUCGCCGCUGCCAUUCUCCAGGCAGCACCCCACGCGACGACUGUCUUCCACAAACACACUCACGUAGAGGGUCGCGAGGCCAUCGUACCUGAAAUGGAGGGUGCACCUCCAGCUCAGACCCCGCGCGCGGGAAAACGGCUGCCAACCGCGGGUCAAGGACAUGUUGCCCGCGGUGCUGACUUCGACCCCCACCCAUGAGGCCCUGCUGCAGCAGCCGUCAGCCUACAGCCAGAGGCCAUCAAGCACCACGGUUGGUAGCGCAUCCGCAAAGAAGCGCGGGAGCGGGAGCCAGAUGCCAGCAGGCCUCUCCGACCACACGACGAACUCCGGGAACACGUCUGUCGAGUGGGAGCGCAGCCAAGGAGGCCGGGCGACCACAACACGCCUCCCCCCAUCGUAGGGGUUGCCCCAUGCUCGGCGGCUCCCACCGCGAGAGGAAGUGUCGUCGCGGCUUCCUGAGGCGACGCUUGCUCUCGAAGGGGUGUGCCCGCGCCCCCGAGGGGCCACCGCCGGGGUCGCGACAUACUUGCGGGGGCGUCCUCAGCCUCUCUUGGGAGGCGGCGAACCCGACCCCUCCUUGGGGGUCUUCCCCUUUUCCGCGGCGGAGAACCUCCUCAUUGGCGCCAUGGACGCUUCGGCAAGAGGGUGAGACAAGGAAGGAGAAGAAGAAAGCGGGCAAUAAGAAGAUGGAGACGAGCAAGGGGGCUCUGCCCCUCCCCUCAUUUAUAGCCAGGAGGAGGCCAACCGUCGGGCUCCAUAAUCCACAGUAAUGAUGAUCUUUCUGCAUGCAACAGGUUCUAGUCAAGCCGAACAGUUGCUGAGGCUGCGUGGGGAAGCAUAGAUGCCCACGUCCCAUCAAGCACCACAUGUCGACCGAGGCCGCAGGAGGUUGGGGCCCGUGGCGCUCCACCCUUGCCCUUUGGCUUCACCUCGAAGCCAAGUCCGAGUGUGCCUUGUGCCGGGGGCCACUUUUUGCGUUCUGGGAAUCUGGGUACCCAGACUUGCCUGCCUACGGCCCAUGGUGUUACUCCAUCGACGACCUGGUACAGCCCAUCUUCAGCACCAACAAUGCAAGAGCCCCGGGAGGUGCCAAGCCUCACGAGGUGGACAACGUCCAGACCUCCAGAGGGAGCGGCCUCCUUAGGCUGGCUGCUGAGGGGUAGAGAUUCCUAUGCGAGCCCUCACCUCGUGAGGUUCGGAUGAUGCAAGCCAUGACGACCAAGGCCGGGCACGCGCCACUGGGUGCCGUACAACAUGUUUCCUCUUUGUUGUUGUAGUGACCCGACCUCAGACGGUCAAGUCUCUGUGCUUAAGUGUCAUCCCUGGAUCGGUACGCUGACACACACAGUACUCGAGGAUUUAUAACAGAGGUAAAUCACAUGUAUAAAGUAAUGUAAAUACUAUUACCUCAAUCCAAAUAGCAGAAGUAACAACAAGGUUGUGGUUUCCAAUCAACACCAACGACAAAGUUGAGUGUAGACAAUAUAACCCUAAAGUAUCACUUACUCGUCAUAAGAUUCCUGCAACAUGAGACGUUGCAGCCAUAUAGGUCAGUACAUUGAAUGUACUGGAAAAUUCACACCUAAUAUUGCUAUCAUUAAAGAUCUCUUGUCUGAUAAUAUAGAUGGGCAUGUUAUUUAUUUCUGUGAUGAAAUUUCUAGAAUUGCCAAACCCUGUGAUAAAGAUAAACCUAGACCUGUGGUAGGCAUGCCUGUUAUUUCUGUUAAAAUAGGAGAUCAUUGUUAUCAUGGCUUAUGUGAUAUGGGUGCUAGUGCUAGUGUAAUACCUUAUUCCUUAUACAAAGAAGUUAUGCAUGAUAUUGCACCUGCUGAGAUGGAAGAUAUUGAUGUCACAAUUAAACUUGCCAAUAGAGAUACUAUUUCACCAAUGGGAAUUGUUAGAGAUGUUGAAGUCUUGUGUGGGAAAACUAAAUAUCCUGCUGAUUUUCUUGUUCUUGGUUCCCCACAAGAUAGCUUUUGUCCCAUUAUAUUUGGUAGACCCUUCUUAAAUAUUGUUAGUGCUAUCAUAUAUUGCAAAACGGAUGUUGUUACUAUCGGUUUAGAUGAUAUGACUCAUGAAUUUAAUUUUUCUAAAUUUAGUAGACAACACCGUGAAGAAGAAUUACCUAGUAAGGAUGAAAUUAUUGGUUUUGCUUCUAUUGCCGUACCUCCUAGUGAUCCUUUAGAACAAUACUUGCUAGACCCUGAAAAUGAUAUGUUUAUGAAUGAAAGAAGGGAAUUAGAUGAAGUAUUCUUUAAACAGGAACCUAUUCUGAAAAACAAUUUACAUGUUGAAAUCCUAGGGGAUCCUCCUCCACCCAAGGGUGAUCCCGUGUUUGAGCUUAAACCAUUACCUAAUACUCUUAAAUAUGCUUAUCUUGAUGAGAAAAAGAUAUAUCCUGUUAUUAUUAGUGCUAACCUUUCAGAGCAUGAGGAAGAGAGAUUAUUGAAAACUCUGAAGAAGCACCACGCUGCUAUUGGGUAUACUCUUGAUGAUCUUAAGGGCAUUAGUCCCACUCUAUGUCAACAUAAAAUUAAUUUGGAAGAAGAUAAUAAACCAGUUCAUGAUCAUCAACGCCGGCUGAAUCCUAAAAUGAAAGAAGUGGUAAGAAAGGAGAUACUAAAGCUCCUUGAGGCAGGUAUAAUUUAUCUCGUUGCUGAUAGUCAAUGGGCAAGCCCUGUCCAUUGUGUCCCUAAGAAGGGAGGUAUGCUGUUGUUCCUAAUGAUAAAGAUGAAUUGAUUCCUCAAAGAAUUAUUACAGGUUAUAGGAUGGUAAUUGAUUUCCGCAAAUUAAAUAAGGCUACUAAAAAGGAUCAUUACCCCUUACCUUUUAUCGAUCAAAUGCUAGAAAGAUUGUCCAAACACACACAUUUUUGCUUUCUAGAUGGUUAUUCUGGUUUCUCUCAAAUACCUGUGUCAGCCAAAGAUCAAUCAAAGACUACUUUUACAUGCCCUUUUGGUACUUUUGCUUAUAGACGUAUGCCUUUUGGUUUAUGUAAUGCACCUGCUACCUUUCAAAGAUGCAUGAUGGCUAUAUUCUCUGACUUUUGUGAAAAGAUUUGUGAGGUUUUCAUGGACGACUUUUCCGUCUAUGGAUCUUCUUUUGAUGAUUGCUUGAGCAACCUUGAUCGAGUUUUGCAGAGAUGUGAAGAAACUAAUCUUGUCUUGAAUUGGGAAAAGUGCCACUUUAUGGUUAAUGAAGGUAUUGUCUUGGGGCAUAAAGUUUCUGAAAGAGGUAUUGAAGUUGAUAAAGCCAAGGUUGAUGCUAUUGAAAAGAUGCCAUGUCCCAAGGACAUCAACGGUAUAAGAAGUUUCCUUGGUCAUGCCGGUUUUUAUAGGAGGUUCAUUAAGGACUUCUCAAAAAUCUCUCGGCGUCCUACUAAUUUAUUACAAAAAUAUAUACCAUUUGUCUUUGAUGAUGAUUGUGUAGAAGCAUUUGAAAUACUUAAGAAAGCAUUGAUCUCUGCACCUAUUGUUCAGCCACUUGAUUGGAAUUUACCCUUUGAAAUUAUGUGUGAUGCUAGUGAUUAUGCUGUAGGUGCUGUUCUAGGACAAAGAGUUGAUGAGAAACUAAAUGUUAUGUAAUAUGCUAGCAAAACUCUAGACAAUUCUCAAAGAAAUUAUGCUAUUACUGAAAAAGAAUUCUUAGCGGUUGUAUUUGCUUGUGAUAAGUUUAGACCUUAUAUUGUUGAUUCUAAAGUAACUAUUCAGAAUGAUCAUGCUGCUAUUAAAUAUCUUAUGGAAAAGAAACAUGCUAAACCUAGACUUAUUAGAUGGGUUCUCUUGCUACAAGAAUUUGAUUGGCAUAUUGUUGAUAGAAAAGGAGCCGAGAACCCCGUUCAGACAACUUGUCUAGGUUAGAAAAUGUGCUUGAUGACCCACUACCUAUUGAUAAUGGCUUUCCCGAUGAGCAAUUAAAUGUCAUAAAUGCUUCUCAUACUGCUCCAUGGUAUGUUGAUUAUGCUAAUUACAUUGUUGCUAAGUUUAUACCACCUAGUUUCACUUACCAGCAAAAGAAAAGGUUCUUCUAUGAUUUGAGGCAUUACUUUUCGGAUGACCCACAUCUUUAUAAAGAAGGAGUAGAUGGUGUUAUUAGACGUUGCGUACCUGACCAUGAACAGGAACAGAUCUACGCAAGUGUCACUCCGAAGCUUAUGGAGGACACCAUGCUGGAGAUAGAACUGCACAUAAGGUACUGCAAUCUGGUUUUUAUUGGCCUACUCUCUUCAAGGAUGCCUGUAAGUUUGUCUUAUCUUGUGAUGAAUGUCAAAGAAUUGGUAAUAUUAGUAGACGUCAAGAAAUGCCUAUGAAUUAUUCACUUGUUAUUGAACCAUUUGAUGUUUGGGGCUUUGACUAUAUGGGACCUUUUCCUUCCUCUAAUGGUUAUACACACAUUUUAGUUGCUGUUGAUUACGUUACUAAGUGGGUAGAAGCUAUUCCAACUAGUAGUGCUAAUCAUAACACCUCUAUAAAGAUGCUUAAAGAAGUUAUUUUUCCGAGGUUUGGAGUCCCUAGAUAUUUAAUGACUGAUGGUGGUUCACAUUUUAUUCAUGGUGCCUUUCGUAAAAUGCUUGCUAAGUAUGAUGUUAAUCAUAGAAUUGCAUCUCCUUAUCACUCUCAGUCUAGUGGUCAAGUAGAAUUGAGUAAUAGAGAACUCAAAUUAAUUUUGCAAAAGACUGUUAAUAGGUCUAGAAAGAAUUGGUCCAAGAAACUAGAUGAUGCAUUAUGGGCCUAUAGAACUACAUAUAAAAAUCCUAUGGGCAUGUCUCCGUAUAAAAUGGUCUAUGGAAAAGCAUGUCACUUACCUCUCGAACUAGAACACAUGGCUUAUUGGGCUAUUAAAGAACUUAAUUAUGAUUUUAAACUUGCCAGUGAGAAGAGGUUAUUUGAUAUUAGCUCACUUGAUGAAUGGAGAACCCAAGCCUACGAAAAUGCCAAGUUGUUUAAAGAAAAAGUUAAAAGAUGGCAUGACAAAAGGAUACAAAAGCGUGAGUUUAAUAUAGGUGAUUAUGUAUUGCUAUACAACUCUCGUUUAAGAUUUUUUGCAGGAAAACUUCUCUCUAAAUGGGAAGGUCCUUACGUUAUCGAGGAGGUCUACCGUUCCGGUGCCAUAAAAAUCAACAACUUCGAAGGCACAAAUCCGAAGGUGGUGAACGGUCAAAGAAUCAAACAUUAUAUCUCAGGUAAUCCCAUGAAUGCGGAAACCAAUGUUAUUGAAACCAUAACCCCAGAGGAAUACAUAAGGGACACUUUCCAGAACGUUUCAACCUCCGAAAAGGAAUAGGUAUGUGGUACGGUAAGUAAACCGACUCCAAAAUAGUGUUUUAGGCAAUAUUUCUCUGUUUUGGAAUAUUUAGAAAAAUAGAAAAAUAAGCAGCAGUCCGGGAAGGACACAAGGGCUCCACGAGGGUGGAGGGCGCGCCCUACCCCCCUGGGCGCGCCCCCUACCUCGUGGGCACCUCGUGUGCUCUCCAGACUCCGUUUUCAUACAUGACACGUAUUUUGGUCGGUAAAAAUUCAUUAUAUAAUCUCCCGGGGGUUUUGACUCCCGUAUCACGCAAAAAUCUCCUGUCUUUGUUUCGAGCUGUUUUUCUGGCAGAUCCAGGUCAUCAUGUCGUCUUCAAGUGCCCCAAAGGACUAGUUCUUCGAGAAGGUCAUCAACCCCUACCUCGUAGAAGUGCUGCAACACCCUCAAACCAUAGAGAUGCGUGAGGGGUUGUUGCACAUCCACGAUGCUGAGGGACCAAGGAAGACUGGAAGCACGGAUUCCAGGCUCGAGGCAUUAGAGCAAGAAGUUUUCAAGUGUUAGGAGAUGGUGGAGUGUGGACUUGAUUCCAAUCACAUUAUGAUCACGGAGUUCACCAACAACCACAAGCUAGACGUCAAGGACAUUGGGGGAGGCCAUCUUCAAGCUUCAUGAGAAAAUCGAGCACCUCCAAGCCCAGAUUUAUGACCUGCAAAACCAAAAUUGUGAGUAUGAAUAUAGAUUCAAGAGGAUGAGUUUGGCUGCAGAUUUAAGGUUUCAGGAGACUCAAUCAUCCUUCUAUGGUGGUGAGCAUAUGCCCUGGAAGAAGGACGACAAGCCUACGCCAUCAACAAAAGCACCACCGUCUCCACCAAUAAAGAAGAAUUGAGUAUCUGGUAUGGGCACUCCACUUGGCAACUUCCAAGCUUGGGGGAGUGCCCCGGUAUCGUAUCACCAUCACUUUUAUCUUUACCGUUUUUCUUAGUUCGAUCCUUUUGGUAAUAUCUUGAUCUAGUAGAAUAAAAGUUCUUAGUGUGAUCUAGUUGUGAGUUUUGCUUUAUUAUCCUUCUAUGAAAUCGAGUCCGUGAUCUAUAAUAAAGAUUAGUGUUGAGUUAAGGGCUUGAUUAUUUUGCCAUGAUCCUAAGUGAAUAAAAGAAAAGAGAAAGAAAUAAAAAGAAACAAAGAGAUCAUGUGAGUCUUAUGGAGAGUAAUGAGCUCACAUAGAAAAGUAUGAUGAAUAAAACUUGUUGAGGAUUGACAAUCAUAGUUUUGGUCAUCGUUGCAAUUAAUAGGAAGUAAUGAAGAAAGAGAGGUCUUCACAUAUAAAUAUACUAUCUUGGACAUCUUUUAUGAUUGUGAGCACUCAUAAAAAUAUGACAUGCUAAAGAGUUGACCUUGGACAAGGAAGACAACGUAAUGGGUUAUGUUUUCUUACAUCUAAGAUGAAUUAUAUUGUCUUGGAUCUUCCAACAUGAUGAGCUUGCCUUUCCCCCUCAUGCUAUCCAAAUUCAUUGCACCAAGUAGAGAUACUACUUGUGCUUCCAAAUACCCUUAAACCAUUCUUGCCAUAAGAGUCCACCAUAUCUACCUAUGGAUUGAGUUAGAUCCAUCAAGUAAGUUGUCAUCGGUGCAAGCAAUAAAAAUUGCUCUCUAAAUAUGUAUGAUUGAAUGGUAUGGAGGAAAUAAGCUUUAUAUGAUCGUGUGAUAUGGAAGUAAUAAAAGCGACAGACUUCAUAAUAAAGGUCCAUAUCACAAGUGGCAAUAUAAAGUGACGUUCUUUUGCAUUAAGAUUUUGUGCAUCCAACCAUAAAAGUGCAUGAAAACAUUUGUUUCCCUCUGCGAAGGGCCUACCUUUUACUUUUAUCUCCUACAUUGCAUAAGAGUCAUGGUGAUUCUCACCCUUCCUUUUUACAUUUUAUCCUUUGGCAAGCACAAUAUGUUGGAAAGAUCCUGGUAUAUAUGGCUAAUUGGAUGUGAGUUUUCAUGAACUAUUACUGUUGACAUCACCCUUGAGGUGAAACGUUGGGAGGCAAAACUAUAAGCCCCUAUCUUUCUCUAUGUCCGAUUAAAACUCCAUACCCAUAAGUAUUGCGUGAGUGUCAGCAAUUGUGAAAGAUUAUAUGAUAGUUGAGUAUGUGGACUUGCUGAAAAGCUCUUAUACAUUGACUCUUUCCUAUGUUAUGAUAAAUUGCAAUUGCUUCAUUGACUGAGAUUAUAGUUUGUUAGUUUUCAAUGAAGUUUACGAUUCAUACUUGAUAUUGUGAUUGAAUUAUUACUCUAGCAUUAGAGAUUAUAUGACAAGAAUUAUAUAAGUUGUUGUUCUAAGAAUGAUCAUGAUGCCCUCAUGUCCGUAUUUUAUUUUUAUCGACACCUCUAUCUCUAAACAUGUGGACAUAUUUUUCGAUUUCGGCUUUUCGCUUGAGGACAAGCGAGGUCUAAGCUUGGGGGAGUUGAUACGUCCAUUUCGCAUCAUGCUUUUAUAUCGAUAUUUAUUGCAUUAUGGGCUAUUAUUACACAUUAUGUCACAAUACUUAUGCCUAUUCUCUCUUAUUUUACAAGGUUUACAUAAAGAGGGAGAAUGCCGGCAGCUGGGAUUCUGGGCUGGAAAAGGAGCAAAUAUUAGAGACCUAUUCUGCAUAGUUCCAAAAGUCCUGAAACUUCACGGAAGAUGUUUUCCAAAUAUAUAUAAAAUAUUGAGAGCAAGAACUUCACCAGGGGGGCCACACCCUGCCCACGAGGGUGGGGGCGCGCCCUACCCCCUAGGCGCGCCCUCCUACCUCGUGGGCCCCCUGGUGGCCCUCUGGUGGCCAUCUUCUACUAUAUGGAGUCUUUCGAUGGGAAAAAAAUUAUAAGCCAUCUUCUCGGACGAAAUUCCGCCGCCACGAGGCGGAACCUUGGCGGAACCAAUCUAGGGCUCUGGCGGAGCUGUUCUGUCGGGGAAACUUCCCUCCCAGAGGGGGAAAUCAUCGCCAUCGUCAUCACCAACGCUCCUCUCAUCGGGAGAGGGCAAUCUCCAUCAACAUCUUCAUCAACACCAUCUCCUCUCAAAACCCUAGUUCAUCUAUUGUAUCCAAUUCUUCUCUCCAAGUCCGGGAUUGGUGCUAGUAGGUUGCUAGUAGUGUUAAUUACUCCUUGUAGUUGAUGCUAGUUGGUUUAUUUGGUGGAAGAUCAUAUGUUCAGAUCCUAUAUGCAUAUUAAUACCCCUUUGAUUAUGAACAUGUUUAUGCUUUGUGAGUAGUUACUUUUGUUCCUGAGGACAUGGGAGAAGUGUUGCUAUUAGUAGUCAUGUGAAUUUGGUAUUCGUUCGAUAUUUUGAUGAGAUGUAUGUUGUCUCUCCUCUAGUGGUGUUAUGUGAACGUCGACUACAUGACACUUCACCAUUAUUUGGGCCUAGAGGAAGGCAUUGGGAAGUAAUAAGUAGAUGAUGGGUUGCUAGAGUGACAGAAGCUUAAACCCUAGUUUAUGUGUUGCUUCUUAAGGGGCUGAUUUGGAUCCAUAUGUUUCAUGCUAUGGUUAGGUUUACCUUAAUACUUUUGUUGUAGUUGCGGAUGCUUGCAAUAGAGAUUAAUCAUAAGUGGGAUGCUUGUCCAAGUAAGGGCAGUAUCCAAGCACCGGUCCACCCACAUACCAAAUUAUCAAAGUAUCAAACGCGAAUCAUAUUAACGUGAUGAAAACUAGCUUGACGAUAUUCCCAUGUGUCCUCGGGAGCGCUUUACAUCAUACAAGAGUUUGUCCAGGCUUGUCCUUUGCCACAAAAAGGAUUGGGCCACCUUGCUGCACUUUAUUUACUUUUGUUACUUGUUGCUCGUUACAAAUUAUCCUAUCACAAAACUAUCUGUUACCACUUAUUUCAGUACUUGCAGAGAAUACCUUGCUGGAAACCGCUUAUCAUUUCCUUCUGCUCCUCGUUGGGUUCGACACUCUUACUUAUCUAAAGGACUACGAUAUAUCCCCUAUACUUGUGGGUCAUCAAUAACUUCAAAGGGGAAACUCAGUCCAUUACAAGAGAGUAGAGAGGGAGAAGAAACAUAAGAUCCAACUAUAAUAGCAAAGCUCACGAUACAUCAAGAUCGUGCCAAAUCAAGAACACGAGAGAGAGAGAGAGAGAUCAAACACAUAGAUACUGGUACAUACCCUCAGCCCCGAGGGAGAACUACUCCCUCCUUGUCAUGGAGAAAACCGGGAUGAUGAAGAUGGCCACCGGAGAGGGAUUCCCCCUCCGGCAGGGUGCCGAAAUGGGUCUAGAUUGGCUUUCGGUGGCUACGGAGGCUUCUGGCAGCGGAACUCCAGAUCUAUUGUGCUCCUCGGUCGUUUUACGGUAUAUGGAUAUAUAUAGGCGGAAGAAAUACAUCAGGGGAGCCACGAGAGGGGCCCACGAGGGUGGAGGGCACGCCCAGGGGGGUGGGCGUGCCCCCUGCCUCGUGGCUUCCUCGUUGCUUCCCUUACGUACACUCAAAGUCUUCUGGGUUGCUUCCGUUCCAAAAAAUAAGUUCCGUGAAGUUUCAGGUCAAUUAGACUCCGUUUGAUUUUCCUUUUCUGUGAUACUCUAAAACAAGGAAAAAACAGAAACUGGCACUGGGCUCUGGGUUAAUAGGUUAGUCCCAAAAAGCAUAUAAAAUAUCAUAUAAAUGCAUAUAAAACAUCCAAGGUUGAUAAUAUAAUAGCAUGGAACAAUAAAAAAUUAUAGAUACGUUGGAGACGUAUCAACAUCCCCAAGCUUAAUUCCUACUCGUCCUCGAGUAGGUAAAUGAUAAAAACAAAUUUUUUGAUGUGGAAUGCUACCUAACAUAUUUAUCCAUGUAGUUCUCUUUAUUGUGGCAAGAAUAUUCAGAUCCAUAAGAUUCAAUACAAAAGUUUAAUAUUGACAUAAAAAUAAUAAUACUUCAAGCAUACUAACAAACCAAUCAUUUCUUCUCAAAAUAACAUGGCCAAAGAAAGCUAUCCCUACAAAAUCAUAUAGUCUGGCCAUGCUCCAUCUUCACCACGCAACAUAUUUAAAUCAUGCACAACCCCGAUGACAAGCCAAGCAAUUGUUUCAUACUUUCGAUGUUCUCAAACUUUUCAAUCUUCAUGCAAUACAUGAGCGUGAGCCAUGGACAUAGCACUAUAGGUGGAAUAGAAUGGUGGUUGUGGAGAAGACAAAAAGGAGAAGAUAGUCUCACAUCAACUAGGCGUAUCAACGGGCUAUGGAGAUGCUCAUCAAUAGAUAUCAAUCUGAGUGAGUAGGGAUUGCCAUGCAACGGAUGCACUAGAGCUAUAAGUGUAUGAAAGCUCAACAAAAGAAACUAGUGGGUGUGCAUCGAACUUGCUUGCUCACGAAGACCUAGGGCAUUUUGAGGAAGCCCAUCAUUGGAAUAUACAAGCCAAGUUCUAUAAUGAAAGAUUCCCACUAGUAUAUGAAAGUGACAACAUAGGAGACUCUCUAUCAUGAAGAUUAUGGUGCUACUUUGAAGCACAAGUGUGGUAAAAGGAUAGUAGCAUUGUCCCUUCUCUCUUUUUCUCUCAUUUUUUUUAUUUUUUAUUUGGGCCUUCUCUUUUUUUAUGGCCUCUUUUUUGGGCUUCUUUGGCCUCUAUUUUUUCGUCCAGAGUCUCAUCCCGAAUUGUGGGGGAAUCAUAGUCUCCAUCAUCCUUUCCUCACUGAGACAAUGCUCUAAUAAUGAUGAUCAUCACACUUUUAUUUACUUACAACUCAAGAAUUACAACUCGAUACUUAGAACAAGAUGUGACUCUAUAUGAAUGCCUCCGGCGGUGUACCGGGAUGUGCAAUGAUGCAUGAGUGACAUGUAUGAAAGAAUUAUGAACGAUGGCUUUGCCAUAAAUACAAUGUCAACUACAUGAUCAUGCAAAGCAAUAUGACAAUGAUGAAGCGUGUCAUAAUAAACGGAACGGUGGAAAGUUGCAUGGCAAUAUAUCUCGGAAUGGCUAUGGAAAUGCCAUAAUAGGUAGGUAUGGUGGCUGUUUUGAGGAAGGUAUAUGGUGGGUUUAUGGUACCGGUGAAAGUUGCGCGGUACUAGAGAGGCUAGCAAUGGUGGAAGGGUGAGAGUGAGUAUAAUCCAUGGACUCAACAUUAGUCAUAAAGACCUCACAUACUUGUUGCAAAAAUCUAUUAGUUAUCGAAACAAAGUACUAUGCGCAUGCUCCUAGGGGGAUAGAUUGGUAGGAAAAGACCAUCGCUCAUCCCCGACCGCCACUCAUAAGGAAGACAAUCAAUAAAUAAAUCAUGCUCCGACUUCAUCACAUAACGGUUCACCAUACGUGCAUGCUACGGGAAUUACAAACUUUAACAAAAGUAUUUCUCAAAUUCACAACUACUCAACUAGCAUGACUCUAAUAUCACCAUCUCCAUAUCUCAAAACAAUCAUCAAGUAUCAAACUUCUCAUAGUAUUCAAUGCACUUUAUAUGAAAGUUUUUAUUAUACCCAUCUUGGAUGCCUAUCAUAUUAGGACUAGAUUCAUAACCAAAGCAAACUACCAUGCUAUUUAGUACUCUCAAAAUUAUAUAAGUGAAGCAUGCGAAUUCAUCUAUUUCUACAAAAUAAAUCCCCCGCAGUGCUCUAAAAAGAUAUAAGUGAAGCACUAGAGCAACAAUGAGUAGUCGAAUAAUUAUGCAACUAUGUGAAGACUCUCUAACAUUUAAGAAAUUCAAAUAUUGGUAUUUUAUUCAAACAGCAAGCAAAAAUAAAUAAAAUAAAAUGACGAUCCAAGAAAAACACAUAUCAUGUGGUGAAUAAAAAUAUAGCUCCAAGUAAAGUUACCGAUGAACGAAGACGAAAGAGGGGAUGCCUUCAGGGGCAUCCCCAAGCUUAGGCUUUUGGUUGUCCUUGAAUAUUACCUUGGGGUGACUCGGGAAUCCCCAAGCUUAGGCUCUUGCCACUCCUUAUUCCAUAGUCCAUCGAAUCUUUACCCAAAACUUGAAAACUUCACAACACAAAACUUAACAGAAAACUCGUAAGCUCCGUUAGCGAAAAAAACAAAACACCACUUCAAGGUACUGUAAUGAACUCAUUCUUUAUUGAUAUUGGUGUUAAACCUACUUUAUUCCAACUUAUGUAUGGUUUAUAAACUCUUUUACUAGCCAUAGAUUCAUCAAAAUAAGUAAACAACACAUGAAAAACAGAAUUUGUCAAAAACAGAACAGUCUGUAGUAAUCUGUAACUAACGCAAACUUCUCGAACCUAAAAAAAUAUAAAAUAAAUUGCUGGACGUGAUGAAUAUAUCUAUUAAUCAUCUGAAAAAAUGAAUUAACUAAAUAGCACUCUCCAGUAAAAUAUGGCAGCAAAUCUCGUGAGCGCUGAAGUUUCUGUUUUUUACAGCAUGAUCGCAAAGACUUUCCCCAAGUCUUCCCAAAGGUUCUACUUGGCACAAACACUAAUUAAAAGCAUAAAAACUCAAUAAUAACAGAGGCUGGAUAAAUUAUUUAUUUCUAAACAGGAGCAAAAUGCAAGGAACAAAAGUAAAGUUGGGUUGCCUCCCAACAAGCGCUAUCGUUUAACGCCCCUAGCUAGGCAUGAUGAUUUCAAUGAUGCUCACAUAAAAGAUAAGAAUUGUAACAUAAAGAGGGCAUCAUGAAGAAUAUGACUAGCACAUUUAAGCCUAACUCGCUUCCUAUGCAUAGGGAUUUUGUGAGCAAACAACUUAUGGGAACAAGAAUCAACUAGCAUAGGAAGGUAAAAUAAGCAUAACUUCAUAACUUUAAGAACAUAGAGAGGAAACUUGAUAUUAUUGAAAUUCCUACAAGCAUAUAUUCCUCCCUCAUAAUAAUUUUCAGUAGCAUCAUGAAUGAAUUCAACAAUAUAACCAUCAUAAAUAGGAACCUCUUCCAGAAUAGUGGAUUCAUCACAAAAUAAAGUCAUGACCUCUCCAAAUCCACUUUCAUCAAUAUAAUCAUCAUAAAUAGGAGGCAUGCUUUCAUCAUAAUAACUUUGUUCAUCAAAACUUGGGGGACAAAAAAUAUCAUCUUCAUCAAACAUAGCUUCCCCAAGCUUGUGGCUUUGCAUAUCAUUGGCAUCAUGGAUAUUCAAGGAAUUCGUACUAACAACAUUGCAAUCAUGCUCAUCAUUCAAAUAUAUAGUGCCAAACAUUCUAAUGCAUUAUUCUUCUAACACUUUGGCACAAUUUUCCUUUCCAUCAUACUCACGAAAGAUAUUAAAAAGAUGAAGCGUAUGAUGCAAACUUAAUUCCAUUUGUUGUAAAUUUAUUUUAUAAACUAAACUAGUGAUAAAACAAGAAACUAAAAGACUCGAUUGCAAGAUCUAAAGAUAUACCUUCAAGCGCUCACCUCCUCGGCAAUGGCGCCAGAAAAAAGCUUGAUGUCUACUACACAACCUUCUUCUUGUAGACGUUGUUGGGCCUCCAAGUGUAGAGGUUUGUAGGACAGUAGAAAAUUUUCCUCAAGUGGAUGACCUAAGGUUUAUCAAUCCGUAGGAGGCAUUGGAUGAAGAGGGUCUCUCUCAAGCAACCCUGCAACCAAAUAACAAAGAGUCUCUUGUGUCCCCAACACACCCAAUACAAUGGUAAAUUGUAUAGGUGCACUAGUUCGGCAAAGAGAUGGUGAUACAAGUGGUAUAUGGAUAGUAGAUAAAGGUUUUUGUAAUCUGAAAAUAUAAAAACAGCAAGGUAACUAAUGAUAAAAGUGAGCGUAAGCGGUAUUGCAAUGCGUUGAAACAAGGCCUAGGGUUCAUACUUUCGUUAGUGCAACUUCCCUCAACAAUAAUAACAUAAUUGGAUCACAUAACUAUCCCUCAACAUGCAACAAAGAGUCACUCCAAAGUCACUAAUAGCGGAGAACAAACGAAGAGAUUAUGGUAGGGUACGAAACCACCUCAAAAUUAUUCUUUCCAAUCAAUCCGUUGGGCUAUUCCUAUAAGUGUCACAAACAGCCCUAGAGUUCGUACUAGAAUAACACCUUAAGACACAAAUCAACCAAAACCCUAAUGUCACCUAGAUACUCCAAUGUCACCUCAAGUAUCCGUGGGUAUGAUUAUACGAUAUGCGUCACACAAUCUCAGAUUCAUCUAUUCAACCAACACAUAGAACCUCAAAGAGUGCCCCAAAGUUUCUACCAGAGAAUCACGACGAAAACGUGUGCCAACCCCUAUGCAUAGGUUCAUGGGCGGAACCCGCAAGUUGGUCAUACAUCAAGUGAAUCACGUGAUAUCCCAUUGUCACCACAGAUACGCACGGCAAAACAUACAUCAAGUGUUCUCAAAUCUUUAAAGACUCAAUCCGAUAAGAUAACUUCAAAGGGGAAACUCAAUCCAUUACAAGAGAGUAGAGAGGGAGAAGAAACAUAAGAUCCAACUAUAAUAGCAAAGCUCACGAUACAUAAAGAUCGUGCCAAAUCAAGAACACGAGAGAGAGAUCAAACACAUAGCUACUGGUAAAUACCCUCAGCCCCGAGGGAGAACUACUCCCUCCUCGUCAUGGAGAGCACCAGGAUGAUGAAGAUGGCCACCGGAGAGGGAUUCCCCCUUCGGCAGGGUGCCGGAAUGGGUCUAGAUUGGCUUUCGGUGGCUACGGAGGCUUCUGGCGGUGUAACUCCCGAUCUAUUGUGCUCCUCGAUCGUUUUACGGUAUAUGGAUAUAUAUAGGCGGAAGAAAUACGUCAGGGGAACCACGAGGGGCCCACGAGGGUGGAGGGCGCGCCCAGGGGGUGGGAGUGCCCCCUACCUCAUGGCUUCCUCGUUGCUUCCCUUACGUACACUCCAAGUCUUCUGGGUUGCUUCCGUUCCAAAAAUAAGUUCCGUGAAAUUUCAGGUCAAUUGGACUCCGUUUGAUUUUCCUUUUCUGUGAUACUCUAAAACAAGGAAAAAACAGAAACUGGCACUGGGCUCUGGAUUAAUAGGUUAGUCCCAAAAAUCAUAUAAAAUAGCAUAUAAAUGCAUAUAAAACAUCCAAGGUUGAUAAUAUAAUAGUAUGGAACAAUAAAAAAUUAUAGAUACGUUGGAGACGUAUCAAUACUCUACUUCCUCUGCCGGGAAUUCUACUAGAUCUCCAUUCAGACAAUUCUAGGAGAUGUGUCCUUCUCCACAUGAAUAGCAUGACUUGGUGCAGGGUUUAAUUGGGGCUUCUUUGGGUGUGUCCUCCACCUCUUCGUUCAUCAUAUGUUCUUCUAAAAUUUCCAUGAGGGCUCCUUUCAUUUCUUCUUUCUCCCGCUAGAAGGUUCUUUGUACCAUGGGGUAAAUGUGACACUGAGCAGGGUAGCGGGUAGUCCCUUCACACAAGAAACAAGUAAUCUGCCUAGUUGGGCAUUCUUCAGCUGGGUGACUUGCUUCACAAUUUGGGCAUUAAUCCUUGUUAUCUUUAUGGUUGUGUCCUAUUUCUCCACAAAGCUUGCAUGCACAAGGUUUCUUCAUAUCAUUUCCACAAGGCUUCAAUUUCUAGGACACAAGCCAAGACUUUAGCAGAGUCAACUUAAAUUCUUCCCAAGUGGUUACCCUUUGCCAUCCAUUGAUGGUUUGGUACAUCCUCCACCAAGUAGCGGCACCUCUUUCAAAGCACUGAAGAGUGUGCUGGGUCAUAUCCUUUCCGGCUAUAGUGUUAUUCUCCAUAUGAUGUUCCAUGUUCUGAAUCAUCGGUCCAUAUCCAAUUGAGUCAUCGGUCCCAGAAAUGUGAGUUCUUCUCCAUUCAUCCUCUAUGGGGUCCAUGGGUUUGGGGUAAGAUAAGAGAGAUAGAGAGGGGUACACACAAUACAAACAAUAAUUUUGAAAAGACAAAUUUUAUUUUGUGGCUGUCAGAAAAACAUCAAACAAAUGACAGCUCACAAACGUCGCAUCUAACGUAGGUAUAUAAACAGAGGUUUGGUCUUCUAAGGGUCAAUAAAUCUUCAAAGUCCCCAAACUCUUCAAGUCUUAUUUAUGUCUCUGAUGGAUUCUUUCGGUCGUGCUUGUCCUUCUCAAGUUAUUUUGCCAGAUCAUCUCUGUUGACGUGAAAUCUCUCAUGAUGUCCUUUAAUAUUCCAGGAGUUGCGUUCCAAACUUCUGGGUUUCAACAUCCUUGGCAUGGACCAUGGUCCUACUAUCCUUUAGUUCCCGACGAAUCUCUGGUAUCUCGAGGUUUCGCUCCUCCAGCUUGGCUACUUUCAGCUUCUGAGUCAUGUGUUCUUCACGAAAUGCUUCCUUGUUAAAUACGGCUUCCUGCAGGUCCAUCUUAAAAUUCUUGAUGUAAUACUCCAGAUCCUGGUGAUACUCUAGCUAAGGUUUAAAACUUCUUCUUUUGCUGAUAGGUGCUCCAUCAGCCUUCUACCAUCCAAUCCUUCCGAAGAAAUACAUGCUUAACUCAUCACGGUGACAAAUGCAUAAGCGGGCGAUAACAUCAUGGUUAGCCAUGUUUAUGCCCAUGUCUCUGCCAUGAGCUAUCAGCCCAUAGUUGUUAUCUCCUAUCCUGGGGUUUUCUUCACAAAAACUUCGAGUUUUAACGCUCCAUAUUCCGGUCUUUCUCCAACACACCUCGAUCUCGGGUAUUGGUAGCUUCAAUACUUUGACAAAAUUCCGUAAGGGUACCCUUCCUAGGUCAUACCAAUCUGUAAAUUAUCCUAGUCUUUGGAGUCUUCAACCAUUGUAGUUUCCAUUAUUAUAAUGCACGGUAAAAUCCUCUUCAUUCCGAAGUGGUCUUAGUUGUCCGAUAUCCUAUACUUCUUGGAGUGGUCUCAUCAGUCGAAUCUUCGCGUGGUCAAAAGGGGAAAGGGGGUAUAGUAUAACUAAAAGGGAAUAUUUGAUAAAGCUCAGAAAAGAAGAGAGGUAACAGAUCUUUUUGAAAAUAAAGUUUGAGAGAAAAAUCUUUCCUAUGGGCUUGCCAGUUUCUAGGGUCAUGUCCUACAGUCAACAUGUGCUCUGAUACCAUCUUGUAGCAACCGGACCUCAGACGGUCAAGUCUCUGUGCUUAAGUGUCAUCCCUGGAUCGGUAUGCUGACACACACAGUACUCGAGGAUUUAUAACAGAGGUAAAUAACCUGUAUAAAGUAACGUAAAUACUAUUACCUCAAUCCAAAUAGCAGAAGUAACAACAAGGUUGUGGAUUCCCAUCAACUUCAAUGACAAAGUUGAGUGUAGACAACUUAAACCUAACGUAUCACUUACUCGUCGUAAGAUUCCUGCAACAUGAGACAUUGCAGCCAUAUAGGUCAGUACAUUGAAUGUACUGGCAAAUUCACACUGUAGAGCAAUGCUGAAUAAUGGCUAUCACUACAUGCAUAUUUGGCUGGUGGAGGCUCAAAGUUUAAUUUUGCAUAAAGCUAAUUUUUCCCUACAACAAAGGAAUAUAUUUUAUUUAACUACAAAGUUUGUUGAAAACAUUGAGAAGGUAACCCCAACUCAAUCCCAAAAUAAUAAUGAUCAACCCAACAAAUUAAUUAAGUAUAGUGAUGAGAUCAAAUCAAUAAUUCAAGUACCAGAUACACAAGAUGUCCAUAACCGGGGACACGGCUAAUCACGAUUAGUUUGUACAUUCUGCAGAGGUUUGCACACUUCUCCCCACAAAACUCGAUCUCCUCCGUUGAAUUUCUCGCACUACAUGAUGUUUGAGAAACGGAUGACCGAGAUACAGUCUUUUAGAAGCAUUAACUCUUUACGAUGGGUAGACCGUACCACUGCUACCUCUUGAGCACUGUGUUGGUUUUCCCUUGAAGAGGAAAGGGUGGUGCAGUUAAGCAUCAUAAGUAUUUCCCUUAGUUUUUGAGAACCAAGGUAUCAAUCCAGUAGGAGACCACGCGCGAGUCACCUCAUACCUACACAAACAAAUAAGAACCUCACAACGAACAUGGUUGUCAAUCCCUUCAUGGCCACUUGCAAGAGUGAGAUCUGAUAAAGAUAAUAAUAAUAAGAUAAAUAUUUUUGGUAUUUUUAUGAUAUAUAUUGAAAGUAAAGAUUGCAAAAUAAAAUUGAUUGGAAACUUGUAUGAUGGAGAAUAGACCCAGCGGCCAUAUGUUUCACUAGUGACUUCCCUCAAGAUAGCAUAAGUAUUGCGGUGGGUGAACAAAUUACUGUCGAGCAAUUGAUAGAAUAGCGAAUAAUUAUGAGAAUAUCUAGGUAUGAUCAUGUAUAUAGGCAUCACAUACGCGACAAGUAGACCGACUCCUGCCUGCAUCUACUACUAUUACUCCACUCAUCGACCGCUAUCCAGCAUGCAUCUAGAGUAUUAAGUUCAUAAGAACAGAGUAACGCCUUAAGCAAGAUGACAUGAUGUAGAGGGAUAAACUCAUGCAAUAUGAUAUAAACCCCAUCUUUUUAUCCUCGAUGGCAACAAUACAAUACAUGUCGUUUCCCUUUCUGUCACUGGGAUCGAGCACCGCAAGAUUGAACCCAAAGCUAAGCACUUCUCCCAUUGCAAGAAAGAUCAAUCUAGUAGGCCAAACCAAACUGAUAAUUCGAAGAGACUUGCAAAGAUAAACCAAUCAUACAUAAAAGAAUUCAGAGAAGACUCAAAUACUGUUCGUAGAUAAACUUGAUCAUAAACCCACAAUUCAUCGGAUCUCGACAAACAGACAGCAAAAGAAGAUUGCAUCGAAUAGAUCUCCAAGAGAAUCAAGGAGAACUUUGUAUUGAGAUCCAAAGAGAGAGAAGAACCCAUCUAGCUAAUAACUAUGUACCCGUAGGUCUGAGGUAAACUACUCACACAUCAUCGGAGGGGCCAUGGAAUUGAUGUAGAGGCCCUCCGUGAUCAAUGUCCCCUCCAGCGGAGCUCCGGAAAAGGCCCCAAGAUGGGAUCUCUUGGGUACAGAAGGUUGCGGCGGUGGAAAUAGGGUUUCGUGGUGCUCCUGGAUGUUUGCGGGGUAUAUGGAUAUAUAUAGGAGGAAGAAGCAGGUCGGUGGAGCAACGAGGGGCCCACGAGGGUGGAGGGUGCGCCCAAGGGGGUGGGAGCCCCCUGCCUCGUGGCCUCCUCGAUUUUUUCUUGACGUGCACUCCAAGUCUCCUAGAUCACGUUUGUUCCAAAAAUAACGCUCCCAAAGGUUUCAUUCUGUUUGGACUCCGUUCGAUAUUCCUUUUUGGCGGAACACUAAAAUAGGCAAAAAAACAGCAAUUUGGGCUGGGCCUCCGGUUAAUAGGCUAGUCCCAAAAAUAAUAUAAAAGUGUAAAAAUAAGCCCAUUAACAUCCAAAGUAGAUAAUAUAAUAGCAUGGAACAAUAAGAAAUUAUAGAUACAUUGGAGACAUAUCAAGCAUCCCCAAGCUUAAUUCCUGCUUGUCCUCGAGUAGGUAAAUGAUAAAAACAGAUUUUUUUGAUGCGGAAUGCUUCCUAACAUAUUUCUCAAUGUAAAUUUUCUUUAUUGUGGCAUGAAUGUUCAUAUUCGAAAGAUUCAAGAUAAAAGUUUAAUAUUGACAUAGAAAUAAUAAUACUUCAAGCAUACUAACUAAGCAAUCAUGUCUUCUCAAAAUAACAUGGCCAAAGAAAGUUAUCCCUACAAAAUCAUAUAGUCUGGCUAUGCUCUAUCUUCAUCACACAAAAUAUUAAAUCAUGCAUAACCCCGAUGACAAGCCAAGCAAUUGUUUCAUACUUUUGAUGUUCUCAAACUUUUUCAAUCUUCACGCAAUAUAUGAGCGUGAGCCAUGGAUAUAGCACUAUGGUGGAAUAGAAUGGUGGUUGUGGAGAAGACAAAAAAGGAGAAGAUAGUCUCACAUCAACUAGGUGUAUCAACGGGCUAUGGAAAUGCCCAUUAAUAGAUAUCAAUGUGAGUGAGUAGGGAUUGCCAUGCAACGGAUGCACUAGAGCUAUAAGUGUAUGAAAGCUCAACAAAAGUAACUAAGUGGGUGUGCAUCCAACUUGCUUGCUCAUGAAGACCUAGUGCAAUUUGAGGAAGCCCAUCAUUGGAAUAUACAAGCCAAGUUCUAUAAUGUAAAAUUCCCACUAGUUUAUGAAAGUGACAACUUAGGAGACUCUAUCAUGAAGAUCGUGGUGCUACUUUGAAGCACAAGUGUGGAAAAAGGAUAGUAACAUUGUCCCUUCUCUCUUUUUCUCUCAUUUUAUUUAUUUUCUUUUUUAUUUGGGCCUUCUUCUUUUUUUGGCCUCUUGUUUUUCUUUUUUUUUGUCCGGAGUCUCAUCCCGACUUGUGGGGGAAUCAUAGUCUCCAUCAUCCUUUCCUCACUAGGACAAUGCUCUAAUAAUGAUGAUCAUCACACUUCUUUUUUACUUACAACUCGAGAAUUACAACUCAAUACUUAGAACAAAAUAUGACUCUAUGUGAAUGCCUCCGGCGGUGUACCGGGAUAUGCAAUGAAUCAAGAGUGAUAUGUAUGAAAAAAUUAUGAAUGGUGGCUUUGCCACAAAUACGAUGUCAACUACAUGAUCAUGCAAAGCAAUAUGACAAUGAUGAAGCGUGUCAUAAUAAUGAAACGGUGGAAAGUGGCAUGGCAAUAUAUCUCGGAAUGGCUAUGGAAAUGCCAUGAUAGGUAGGUAUGGUGGCUGUUUUGAGGAAGGUAUAUGGUGGGUUUAUGGUACCGGCAAAAGUUGCGUGGUACUAGAGAGGCUAGCAAAUGUGGAAGGGUGAGGGUGCGUAUAAUACAUAGACUCAACAUUAGUCAUAAAGAACUCACAUACUUAUUGCAAAAAUCUAUUAGUUAUCGAAACAAAGUACUAUGCGCAUGCUCCUAGGGGGAUAGAUUGGUAGGAAAAGACCGUCGCUCGUCCCCGACCGCCACUCAUAAGGAAGGCAAUCAAUAAAUAAAUCAUGCUCCAACUUCAUCACAUAACAGUUCACCAUACGUGCAUGCUACGGGAAUCACAACUUCAACACGAGUAUUUCUCAAAUUCACAACUAUUCAACUAGCAUGACUCUAAUAUCACCAUCUCCAUAUCUCAAAACAAUCAUCAAGUAUCAAGCUUCUCUUAGUAUUCAACGCACUUGUAUGAAAGUUUUUAUUAUGCCUAAACGAAAAUUGCCAUGCUGUUCUAAAGGACUAUCAAAAUAAUAUAAGUGAAGCAUGAGAGAUCAAUUAUUUCUAUAAAAUAGAACCACCGCCGUUCUCUAAAAGAUAUAAGUGAAGCACUAGAGCAAAAAGUAUAUAGUUCAAAAGAUAUAAGUGACGCACAUAGCGUAUUCUAAUAAAUUCUAAUUCAUGUGUGUCUCUCUGAAAAGGUGUGUACAGCAAGGAUGAUUGUGGUAAACAAAAAAGCAAAGACUCAAAUCAUACAAGACGCUCCAAGCAAAACACAUAUCAUGUGACAAAUAAAAAUAUAGCUCCAAGUAAAGUUACCGAUGAACGAAGACAAAAGAGGGAAUGCCUUCCGGGGCAUCCCCAAGCUUAGGAUUUUUGGUGUCCUUGUAUUUUACCUUGGGGUUCCAUGGGCAUCCCCAAGCUUAGGCUCUUGCCACUCCUUGCUCCAUAAUCCAUCAAAUCUUUACCCAAAACAUGAAAACUUCACAACACAAAACUUAACAGAAAAAUCUCGUGAGCUCCGUUAGCGAAAGAAAACAAAACACCACUUCAAGGUACUUUAAUGAACUCAUUCUUUAUUUAUAUUGGUGAUAAACCUACUAUACUCCAACUUCUCUAUGGUUUAUAAACUCUUUUACUAGCCAUAGAUUCAUCAAAAUAAGCAAACAACACAUGAAAAACAGAAUCAGUCAAAAACAGAACAUUCUGUAGUAAUAUGUAACUAACGCAAACUUAUGGAACCCCAAAAAUUCUAAAAUAAAUUGGUGGACGUGGGGAAUUUAUCUAUUAACCAUCUGAAAAAAUAAUUAACUAAAUAGCACUCCCCAAUAAAAAAUGGCAGCGAUUCUCGUGAGCGCUAAAGUUUCUGUUUUUUACAGCAAGAUCAAAAAGACUUUCCCCAAGUCUUCCCAACGGUUCUACUUGGCACAAACACUAAUUAACCAGAAAAAGACAACCAAAAAAGAGGCUAGAUAAAUUAUUUAUUGAAUAACAUCAAGGAAAAAUAUUGGGUUGUCUCCCAACAAGAGAUUUUCUUUAAAGCCUUAUAGCUAGGCAUAAGAUUUCAACGAUGCUUACAUGAAAGACAAGAAUUGAAGCACAAAGAGAGCAUCAUAAAACACGUGACAAAAACAUCUAAGUCUAACAUACUUCCUAUGAAUAGGCAUCUUAUAGACAAACAAAUUAUCAAGGCAAGCAAAAACUAGCAUAUGCAAGGAAGCGGAAAGAAACAAUAGCAAUCUCAACAUAACGAGAGGUAAUUUAGUAACAUGAAAAUUUCUACCACCAUAUUUUCCUCUCUCAUAAUAAUUGCAUGUAGGAUCAUAAUCAAAUUCAACAAUAUAGCUAUCACAAAACAUAUUCUUAACACUAUCCAUAUGUAUGCAAAGUUGACACUCUUCCAAAAUAGUGGGAUCUAAAAUUGACACUCUUCCAUACCCACUUUCAAUAUUAUUGCAAACGUUAUUAUCAGUCUCAUAUUCAUCAUGGGCUUAAAUAUAUUUUCAAGAUCAUAAGAAGAAUCACCCCAAUCAUGAUCAUUGCAACAUGUAGUGGACAUAGCAAAGCUAGCAUCCUCAAGCUUAGGGUUUUGCAUAUUAUAUGCACAAUUGACAUUAAUAGAAUUUAUACUAUUGCAAUAAAUCUUUUUAUUCAAAGAUUUAUCGUAAUCACUUCAUAAAGUACUUCAUCGCAAUUUUCAGAUUCACAAAUUUCAAGCAAAACUUCAUAAAGAUAAUAUAGUGCACAAAACUCACUAGCAAUUGGUUCAUCAUAAUUGGAUCUCUUAAAAAGAUUAGCAAGCGGAUGAGGAUCCAUAGAUCUUAGAUUCUUUGUUUAGCAAUAAAUAAACAACUAUUCCAAACAAACGAGCAAACGAGCCAAGUAAGACAUCAAAGCAAAUGGAAAUACGAACAAAAUAAGGGAGAAUAAAACGGCAAGGGUGAAGUGGGGGAGAGAAAAACGAGAGGCAAAUGGCAAAUAAUGUAAUGCGAAGGGUAAGAGUUGUGAUGGGUACUUGGUAUGUCUUGACUUGGCGUAGAUCUCCCCGACAACGGUGCCAGAAAUCCUUCUUGCUACCUCUUGAGCACUGCAUUGGUUUUCCCUUGAAGAGGAAAGGGUGGUGCAGUAAAGCAGCGUAAGUAUUUCCCUCAGUUUUUGAGAACCAAGGUAUCAAUCCAGUAGAAGACCAUGCGCGAGUCACCUCGUACCUACACAAACAAAUAAGAACCUCGCAACCAACAUGAUAAAGGGGUUGUCAAUCCCUUCACGGCCACUUACAAGAGUGAGAUCUGAUAGAGAUAAUAAUAAUAAGAUAAAUAUUUUUGGUAUUUUCAUGAUAUAGAUUGAAAGUAAAGAUUGCAAAAUAAAAUAGAUUGGAAACUUGUAUGAUGGAGAAUAGACCCCGGGGCCAUAGGUUUCACUAGUGGCUUCUCUCAAGAUAGCAUAAGUAUUACGGUGGGUGAACAAGUUACUAUCGAGCAAUUGAUAGAAUAGCGAAUAAUUAUGAGAAUAUCUAGGUAUGAUCAUGUAUAUAGGCAUCACGUCCGCGACAAGUAGACCGAUUCCUGCCUGCAUCUACUACUAUUACUCCACACAUCGAGCGCUAUCCAACAUGCAUCUAGAGUAUUAAGUUCAUAAGAACAGAGUAACGCCUUAAGCAAGAUGACAUGAUGUAGAGGGAUAAACUCAUGCAAUAUGAUAUAACCCCAUCUUUUUAUCCUUGAUGGCAACAAUACAAUACGUGUCGUUUCCCUUUCUGUCACUGGGAUCGAGCACCGCAAGAUUGAACCCAAAGCUAAGCACUUCUCCCAUUGCAAGAAAGACCAAUCUAGUAGGCCAAACCAAACUGAUAAUUCGAAGAUACUUGCAAAGAUAAACCAAUCAUACAUAAAAGAAUUUAGAGAAAAUUCAAAUAUUGUUCAUAGAUAAACUUGAUCAUAAACCCACAAUUCAUCGGAUGUCGACAAACACACCGCAAAAGAAGAUUACAUCGAAUAGAUCUCCAAGAGAAUCGAGGAGAACUUUGUAUUGAGAUUCAAAGAGAGAGAAUAAGCCAUCUAGCUAAUAACUAUGGACCCGUAGGUCUGAGGUAAACUACUCACACAUCAUCGGAGGGGCCAUGGAGUUGAUGUAGAGGCCCCCCGUGAUCAAUGCCCCCUCCGGCGGAGCUCCGGGAAAGGCCCCAAGAUGGGAUCUCUUGGGUACAGAUGGUUGCGGCGGUGCAAAUAGGGUUUCAUGGUGCUCCUGGAUGUUUGCGGGGUAUAUGGAUAUAUAUAGGAGGAAGAAGUAGGUCGGUGGAGCAACGAGGGGCUCACGAGGGUGGUGGGCCCGCCCCCUGCCUCAUGGCCUCCUCGAUUGUUUUUUGACGUCCACUCCAAGUCUCCUGGAUCACAUUUGUUCCAAAAAUAACGCUCCCAAAGGUUUCAUUCCGUUUGGACUCCGUUUGAUAUUCCUUUUCGGCGAAACGCUAAAAUAGGCAAAAAAACUAGAAUUUGGGUUGGGCCUCCGGUUAAUAGGUUAGUCCCAAAAAUAAUAUAAAAGUGUAAAAAUAAGCCCAUUAACAUCCAAAAUAGAUAAUAUAGUAGCAUGGAACAAUCAAAAAUUAUAGAUAUGUUGGAGACAUAUCAACCACGUGCAUCCCCUACAUCUGGUAGUCUACUAGUGUAAGUGGUCACACAACAUACUCAACUAUGCCAGAGCCCAUAAUGGCUUGUGGCUGCACACAGAAGUUUCUAGCAUGAAUAACAUUAUGAUCCCUUUGAGCCUGGGUGGUAUUCCAAUAGGAUGGUCACACGGAUACCCCGAGAUCUCCUAGGACAACACUGGAUUCCCCAGGUGUACGGGCAAGCCACUGGUAUCCCCAGGGUGCCCCAACCAAUCCACCCAGAUGUGUAUUAAAGUAGCCACCUUAAGUUAACCCUUAGAUAUAAAUACCUCUCACAUCUUUCAUGAAUCUCACAAACCAAUCCACGUCUACAUGUUAUCACACCCAGGGGUUUGAAUAUAAGACAGUAGGUUCCUAGGGGUUUGAAUAUAAGACAGUAGGUUCCUACCUCAGGGGUUUGAAUAUAAGACAGUAGGUUCCUACCUCAUCAACUACUUCCCAAAUACCCACAUGUUAUCACAUCCUACUCAUGCUAUGUUUUAGGGUGAAACUAAUGCAUAAAACUGGGUAUGAAAAAUAUGAUCAAAGUGUGAACUUGCCUUGUAUUUUGAUGAAAAUGAUUCACACUCAUAACUCCUGAUAGUUCUACUCAUCACACUCCUGUCAAGCUAUCGUGAGCAAGCAAUUGCAUACAUAGGCAAUCAUGCAAAAGAAUCAAAGAAAAGAUCUCAGAAAACUUCGAAAACAAGAAAAUAACUCUUGCAACAUAAAACAAUUUCUAACAGUACCAAAAUUAGGGGGAUUUGGCCUUAUCAGAAAGUUCAGUUCAAGAGCUUCAAUUUGCAAGAAGAAACAACUAAAUCGGAGUUAUAUAACUCGAGUUAUGAACAAAAUAAGUUUGAGUACAAAUCUGUUUGAAAUCAAAUUUUACAUUGUCAAAACCAUGUUCAAGUUGAUUAUCUGGAUAGAGGGGAUCGUAAUGAAGAAGUGGGCGUUGGUUUCGUCAAAUUUGGAUAAGCGAGUAAAGAGUUGUGACCGUUAGAAGAUCAGGGACUAAACUGUAAAUAUAAAACUACCGAACGCUAACGAAUGAAUUUGUUCACUCUAAAGAGAUAAAUAGUGAGCGUUCACUAAUUAACUAGGUUAAUAAGAAAAACCGGGUUUAACCUAAAAACCGGAACUUAAAAGAAAACCAAGUGAGACCAGGUUUGGUUUAGUACCGGUUCGGGCGGUUUUCAUCCAAAACUGGCGGCGGGCGGCGGCGGCUCCGGUCGGUGGCGGCAGCUGCGGGCGAGGCGGCAAAGCGGCAAUGCGACGACGGCAAGGCGAUGGCUUCGGAGUGGGGCGGCGGUGUGCAGCAAAACAUGGCUGGGGCGGCGGAGUCGCAGCAUCGAUGCAGCGACGGUGGCGAUGCGAGGCUCGAGGCGGUAGCGGCGAGAUGGGGUCCAAGGGGACCUGGGCGGCGCAAUAACUAGGUAGGUGGGGCGAGCGGCCUCGGGAGGCGUGGAGAUAGGGUAAUGCGGCGACGGUUUCUGGCUCGGCAACGGCAACGGUGGCAGCGGGCGAAGUAUGCGGGCGCCGAAGAUUUGCGGGGAUGGGCGCGGGGCUCGGCUGGGCCACGGCUGGCCUGGCCUGGAUGGCUGGGCCGCCUGGUUCGGCCGAAAGUUUCUUUUUUUAAACAGACAUAAGAAAAGAAAAAAUAAAACAACAAAAUAAAGAAUAUACUAUAGGCGUAUAAUAUACCAAAAUUUUCAAAAAAAAAUAUUCUCUACAACAUGAACAUUUUUCUAACGUCAAAUAAAAUCCACAAAAAUUAAAAUAAAUCCAACAGUGCUACUGCUGCAACAAAACCUCAUAAAAAUCAUUUUAAAAAUACCAAAAUAAAUUCAAAUUUAAUUCUCUCCAAUUUUCUAAUGUAGGGAAUCAUUUUACCCUAAUUUCCAUAUAUUUUAUUUUUGGAGAAAAAUAAUUUGAAUAAAACCCAAAUAACUCAAAAUUGAAAAAUAAUUUCAAAGGGACUCUAGAUUUGAUUCUCUUAAACUCCCAACUCAUAUUUCGUAUGCUUUGAAGAAGUCAUUUUAUCUUCUCUCAUGAAAAUCAUUGAGUUGCUUAAAGUUUCUGGAUUUAAAAUAUUUCCAAAUGGAAUUCAACUCUUUUCAAAUUGCUUUUCAUUUAUUUAAAAUGGAAGAAGUCAUGUUAUCUUAUCUCCAGGGUUUUUGUGAUGGAAAGAAUUUGAAUUCAUGGAUCCAAAAGCAAAAAUGAAAGUUUGGAAAAGUCCUUUUAUUCCCUCUCAUUUAACUUUCAAAAAGUUUCAAAUUUCACUUAAUUUCACACAAGCAACCACACCACAAUCAAACAAUCAAUCAAUUCUAUUUAUUUAAUAUAACAUUCCAAUAAUUAGAAUUUUGGGAUGUUACAGGUGCUAAAGAGGCAAGCGUAGGCGUGGAGUCCCCAGGCAUCAACCAAAGGUUUCCAUUUCCAUGCAACAAGACCAAGACCGCCAGGACGGUAGGACAGAGGUCAUCGCCGAGCCCACCACGGCGUCACGACCUGAGGCUUUGCGGGCGAAGACCACCUUUUGUUAAGAUAAGAUGUACUAGUUGUCUCCCUUCGAAUUUGGCCGUUGUGGGAUCCCUUCCCGCCUUCAUUUUGGGGGAAGAUGACCAAGGCCACUAUAAGUAUAGCCUAGGCACCACCAUAGAGGGAGAGGAUCAUUCAUUCACCCAUCCACAUCCACACCCACACCAUCACAAGAACACACCUCCUGAGGUUGUUCUUCCAUUGUACCAGUUCAUCCUCAGCCCACCUCGAGGCCAAUCCACCACAAAGCAGGAGUAUGGUUUUACACCGUAAGGUGGCCCGAACCUGGGUACAUUUCCUUGUUCCAUUUCCUUCCACUUCAUCGAGCUAGGCCGUGAGAUCGACAAGUUGGCAGACUAGGGAGGUUGAGUCAUUCACAUGCACCCCAGAGUUUGAAUCUAUCUAGGGUCUACGGAGCUCCGAAUCCGACAAGCACCUUGCGAGUUGCGAGGACGAGGAAGAGGCGUUCUGUUGCCGUGCACCAGCGUGCUCCUGCGAGCGUCGUGGCUUUGAUUAUGAAUAAUUUAGUGUCGUAAGGCGAUCUCAUUAGUUUUUGGGACGAAAAUGAUAAAUCCUGAACAUUCAGGAAUUAUUAGUGUCCUUAAUUAACUAUGUAAAAGGAAAAGUUUGGAAACCUUUUAUAUCCGUACGCAUUUGUAAGUACGUGCAUAUAGCACAAACUUAACUAUAUACCGCAGUACACGUCUCUCUCUAUAUAUAUACUUGUAGACUAUACUACUACUAUUAUGUAUACACACAUGCAAAUGCACAUUUUAACAUUACGAUGUGGUUUUGGUAAAAGUAGAAAAAACACUAGUCAAGCUUGUGAAACGAUUCAAUGCAAAAAUGCUCGAUUGUUUACUUUAGCUUCCUGCUCUCUGUGGUUUUUUCUCUAACAUACUUUGUAUGGAGUAUCUCACUGGUCAGGAAGUCAUGCAAAUUCCCAAACCGCUUCAUACACAGUGUAUCAAAUUUUUUGCCUAAGAAGUUGUGCCAUGCAAUUGGAAAUCCAACUUGAGUUCUACUACUAGUAGUAGGAGUAGUAGCUAGGGAUCGAGUGUGUGAGAUGAUUGCAGAGAGAUGAAAUGUAAAAAAUACAGAGGGAUGUGAUGGUUGCUUGUCCGUUUAUUUUACCAGGCCACUUAUUACUGAGAGUGGUGGGGUUUUGUGAUACGACAGCUUUACUGCCACGCCACGAGCGGGGUGAGACUCCCGUGCAGAGCCGCCCUCUACACUAGGACAACCUCCGUCGUGGUUUAUUAGUCCCCCAUGUAAUUUGACUGGAGAUUUAACUAACAAAAUGCUAGUGCAUGUCAACAAAAAAACCGUUGGAUUCGUAUUUCAACAUAGUUUUCAAUGAUAUAAUUUUUUGUGACAUGCAUGAGCAUUUUGUUAGUUAAAUUUAUGACCAAAAUUUGGCACAGAUUACAAUAGGGACCAAUAAACCAGGACGGAGGUAGAACUAUAUAUAGUAAGACACCGGUGCGUUGCACGGAACAAUUAAAUGCAUUGAUUGGGGAGUGGUUUAUUGUGACAAAGUAUGUGGGGGUCAUCUCUUGUGUAACAAAUAUUGAUAGGUUUCUUCGGAUAUUAUUUCUUCUCUAAAGCUCACAAGCAUCCGGGUGAAUAGUAAAUGUAGGCUAAAUAGAUAAAAAAUAUCUUUUGCAAACAAAAGCGUUCAACUAUUGAACUUGCAUCCAAAACUUAUUGAUUGAUGCAAAGGAUGGGGUUAUCCUCCUUUUCAAAAAAUAAGAGAGUAAAAGUUCACAAUUAAUCUCAUAAAUGGCAAGCGAGAACUCUAAUGGAGCAAAAGCAUACAUGGAAUAUUCUAGACUAAACCAUAAAUAGAGCAAGAUCAUGCAUGGAAGGUUCUAUACUAAAUAAGAAGUGUCCACAUGCUUAGCCAAUGACUUACAAUGAGCGAAGACUAAUAAUGAACAGUUAACUUGGUAAUGCAAAUGCCCAGGUGAACCUCCUUAGAGUCUUGGGGUUAAAAAUCAUAUGAAACCAGCCCUCUUCCAUGUCCACAUUGUUGGGAACGGAGCAGCUCACCAAAGUCUCAUUCAGCGUGAGGGAGGCGUCAAGGUCGCCCUCGUACGCUGAAGGGGCAGAAACAGUGAGCACACACCUAUACAGUGGCCUUGUGUCAGGGUCAGCGGUGUUGCCCCUGAUGCACACGACAGAGAAGGGGUGGCGGCCUGCGCGGGCCUUGACGGUGCCCACGACCAAGAGGAAGAAGCUAUCGUCCUCCUCCGUGACUAGGAGGCGGCGGUGAUCCUUCAGCCACUCUGGCACGACGAACGGGUAGCACAUCUCGUACUUGAUGUUCACCACGAGCCAUGAGUGAUUGUGGGACGGUGCCGUGAGGUGAUGCAUGAGGCUCACUAGUGAGUCCACAAAUGGCGGCAUGCACUCAUAGCAGUAGCAGGGCGCGUGCGCACAUCUGGACCUAUGCUCCGCCACCGAGUGCUGGUCGAUGUACCUCUCGCAGCCGCAACUCUUGUAGAUGCAGGGCACCUUGCGGGCAUCGACCAGGCCGUCCAUGAAACGAGAGUGGCUGUAGGGGACAUUGCACCCGCCGCGUGGAGCGCAGGAGUAGCACACGAAGCGGUAGAUGGUGUACUUACUAGUACCCCCUCCAUUUCUUUUUACUAGUUUGCAUAUAAUUCCAAACAUCACGUAAACACAUUCUCUCACCAUUUUACAACUAUAUUAGUAUCAUUGUUAGUGGUCAGCCGGUGCAAGUUCUAGCCCCGGGUGUUUUAACCAUUUUUUAGUAAUGAUAUCUUGCGAUUGUUCGCCACGAGCCCAAUCCUGGCGAAUGUGCACAUAAUCGUCAUAUUUCCAUCCGACGGUGGCCUUUUUUUAAGUCAUAGUAUUUUAAAAAAUUGCCACCCUUACACAUGUGCUCUAACUGCGACGCGUGCGUUUGCAACUGCCAUGUCUCCCAACGAACGUUUGUUGGGGAUUGGUGUUAGCACCGAUGGUGGUUCGCAGUCAUUCCACGCUCCGGUGCUAGUAGUAGAGCAGAGUCCUACUCCACUAUACUACUCGGGCAUAUAGUGGUAGGUACUGUAGUUUAUUUUACUAGUACUAUGAUCAAUCAAGUUGUCUGGCAUCGAUAUGACCCUAUGCUGCUGGGAUGUGUCUCUUAAGUCAAGUGGCGUGUUGCAACAUUGUCAUCAUCACCUGUCCACUUCCCACAUCACAUAUUCGCUUCUCCAUCCUCGUCCGCACAUAAUCGUCCAAUCUUCCAUCCCCGCUAGGCGCCUCCCCCCUCUUGCAAAACCCAAGCACUAACAAUGGCAGAACCGAGUAGUGAUAACCCACAAGUAUAGGGGAUCGCAACCGUUUUCGAGGGUAGAGUAUUCAACCCAAAUUUAUUGAUUCAACACAAGGGGAGCCAAAGAAUAUUCUCAAGUAUUAGUAGUUGAGUUGUCAAUUCAACCACACCUGGAAACUUAAUAUCUGCAGCAAAGUAUUUAGUAUCAAAAUAAUAUGAUAGUAGUGGUAACGGUGGCAAAAGUAACGGUAGCAGUUUUGGUUUUAUAGUGAUUGUAACAGUAGCAACGGAAAAGUAAAUAAGCGAAGAACAAUAUAUGAAAAGCUCGUAGGCAAUGGAUCAGCGAUGGAUAAUUAUAUCGGAUGUGAUUCAUCAUGUAAUAGUUAUAACAAAGGGUGACACAGAACUAGCUCCAAUUCAUCAAUGUAAUGUAGGCAUGUAUUCCGAAUAUAGUCAUACGUGCUUAUUGAAAAGAACUUGCAUGGCAUCUUUUGUCCUACCCUCCCGUGGCAGCGGGGUCCUAUUGGAAACUAAGGGAUAUUAAGGCCUCCUUUUAAUAGAGUACCGGACCAAAGCAUUAACAUAUAGCGAAUGCAUGAACUCCUCAAACUACGGUCAUCACCGGUAAGUAUCCUGAUUAUUGUCACUUCGAGGUUAACGGAUCGUAACACAUAAUAGGUGACUAUAGACUUGCAAGAUAGGAUCAAGAACUCACAUAUAUUCAUGAAAACAUAAUAGGUUCAGAUAUGAAAUCAUGGCACUCGGGCCCGAGUGACAAGCAUUAAGCAUAGCAAAGUCAUAGAACCAUCAAUCUCAGAACAUAAUGGAUACUAGGGAUCAAACCCUAACAAAACUAACUCGAUUACAUGAUAAAUCUCAUCCAACCCAUCAUCGUCCAGCAAGCAUACGAUGGAAUUACUCACGUACGGCAGUGAGCAUCAUGAAAUUGGUGAUGGAGGAAGGUUGAUGAUGUCGAUGACGAUGGAUUCCCCUCUCCGGAGCCCCGAACGGACUCCAGAUCAGCCCUCCCGAGAGAGAUUAGGGCUUGGCGGUGGCUCCGUAUCGUAAAACACGAUGAAUCCUUCUCUCCUAUUUUUUUCUCCACGAACGUGAAUAUAUGGAGUUGGAGUUGAGGUCGGUGGAGCACCAGGGGGCCCACGAGGCAGGGGGCGCGCCCAUGGGGGGGGUGUAGGCGCGCCCCCACCCUCGUGGACAGGGCGUGGGCCCCCUGGCCUUGAUUCUUUUGCUAGUAUUUUUUAUAUAUACCAAAAAUAAUAUCCGUUGAUUUUCAGGUCAUUCCAAGAACUUUUAUUUCUGCACAAAAAUAACACCAUGACAAUUCUACUGAAAACAUCGUCAGUCCGGGUUAGUUCCAUUCAAAUCAUGCAAGUUAGAGUCCAAAACAAGGGCAAAAGUGUUUGGAAAGUAGAUACGAUGGAGACGUAUCAACUCCCCAAAGCUUAAACCUUUCCUUGUCCUCAAGCAAUUCAGUUGACAAACUGAAAGUGAUAAAGAAAAACUUUUACAAACUUUGUUUGCUCUUGUUGUUGUAAAUAUGUAAAGCCAACAUUCAAGUUUUCAGCAAAGAUUAUGAACUAACCAUAUUCACAAUAACACUUAGAUCUCAUGUUUACUCAUAUCAAUGGCAUAAUCAACUAGCGAGCAAUAAUAAUAAAUCCCGGAUGAUAACACUUUCUCAAAAUAAUCAUAAUAUGAUGUAACAAGAUAGUAUCUUGCUAGCGCUUUGUGAGACCGCAAAACAUAAAUGCAGAGCACCCUUGAAGAUCAAGGGCUGGCUGGAACUUGUAAUUCAUGGUAAAAGAGAUCCAGUCAAGUCAUACUCAAUGUAAACUAACAAUAAUACAUGCAAAUGACAGCGAUGCUCUCCAACUGGUGCUUUUUAAUAAGAGGAUGAUGACUCAACAUAAAAGUAAAUGGAUAGGCCCUUCGCAGAGGGAAGCAGGGAUUUAUAGAGGUGCUAGAGCUCGGUUUUGAAACAAAGAUGAAUAAUAUUUUGAGCGGUACACUUUCAUUGUCAACAUAACAACCGAGAGAUCUCGAUAUCUUCCAUGCUACACACAUUAUAGGCAGUUCCCAAGCAGAAUGGUAAAGUUUAUACUCCUCCACCACCAACAAGCAUCAAUCCAUGGCUUGCCCGAAACAACGAGUGCCUCCAACUAACAACAAUCCUGGGGGAGUUUUGUUUGCAAUUAUUUUGAUUUGAUUUGAGCAUGGGACUGGGCAUCCCGGUGACCAACCAUUUUCUCGUGAGUGAGGAGCGGAGUCCACUCCUCUUGAGAAUAACCCGCCUAGCAUGGAAGAUACAUACAACCCUAGUUGAUACAUGAGUUAUUCGAGCAUAUAAAACAGAAUUUUUAUUUGAAGGUUUAGAGUUUGGCACAUACAAACUUACUUGGAACGGCAAGUAGAUACCGCAUAUAGGAAGGUACGGUGGACUCAUAUGGAAUAACUUUUGGGGUUUAUGGAGUUGGAUGCACAAGCAGUAUUCCCGCUUAGUACAAGUGAAGGCUAGAAAGAGACUGGGAAGCGACCAGCUAGAGAGCGGCAACAGUCAUGAACAUGCAUUAAAAUUAAUCAACACCAAAUACAAGCAUGAUGUCUGUGUUGCUGGUAAACGGUACCGACUUGUUACUUUAAUACGUUGCCAAGAACUUGCUAGUUUUACUAGUUCGUGUGAAAUUAAAUACGUUGCCAAAACUGAUUAGUUUUACUAGUUUGAUGUUAGUUUCUUAUGGAUCUUGCAAUACUUUAUUUAUGAUUGCUAACAUUCAAGUUUGCAGGAUCCAACUGAAACUCAGUUGGUACAACAGGUAUGUUUUCAUAAACUUCCCUCUUUAAUUGGUUUGCUACUGUAACUUGUUGCUGUAAUCAUCUUACCAAUUUCAAGUUUUCAGGAUCUAAUUGGAAUUUCAAUUGCACAGUAGGUACAUUUUCAAAAAUAUAUUUGUGUAACAGGUUUGCUACUGUAACUUGUUGCUCCAAUCAAGUUACUGAUUACUACUCAACUUUUCAGGAUCCAAGAGAAACUCCAAUGCCGCAACAGGUUCCUUUUGCAAAACUUGUUUGUUUAACUGCUUUGCUGUUGCAACCGGUUGCUCUAAUCAUGUUACUGGCUACUCAAGUUUUCAGUAUCCAAGAGAAACUCGAAUGCCACAAUAGGUACCUUUUGCAAGACUUGUUUGUUUAACUGCUUUGCUGCUGCAACCAGUUACAAUGAUGUUAAUAACUACUUUUCAGCAUCCAAUUUAAACUCUUCAAUUCCUUGUUUAUUUAACUGGUUUGCUGUUAUAACUCCCAAUUGAGAUGUUUUGCUAACUUUAACUUUUCAGAAUACAAUUGGAACUCUAAUGGCAAAAUAGGUUAGCCCAAGAUCAAAGAGCGAGGUCCCCAUGGACGUUGUAUCAUCCCACAACAGUGGCACCGGUCCAAUCAUGCAUCAUGAAUUGCCAACUGUUGAUGCUCUAUAGGCCAAACUAUUGGUAGAAAGAGAUUCUGCUUCUGCACUUAGAGAUGAAGUUGACAUGUUGAGGAAGAAAACAACACAAUCACAAGCAGUACUCAAGACAACCAUUAAAUAUUUGGUGGAUUUCAAAACGAAGCAAGCUGAGACUGAUCGCAUUGUUAAGGUCCUGAAGGAAAAAAGGAAAUUAAAUUCCCACUUGGUAAAUCGUAGGUGAAAUGUUCUCUCCAUCGUUGAAUAAACUUUGUGUUGUUUGUUCAUGUAAUCGAUCAAACCAUUUGUUUUAGAGAUCAUGUAAUAAUUGUUUUUUGUUUUGUAAUUUUUUUUAGCACAAGUCUGUAUUAAUUGAUACGACUCUGAGACAUUUCAUUUUGAUUACUGUGCUAGACCUACAAAUAUGCCAAUCAGGCUGAAUGUGCAUUCAACAAUAAUAGUAGUAUAGAUGGACCUUAAGUGGCAUGCAUCUGAAAGGGCCACUGGUGCGCGUCAGUCCUAAACAAACAGUUUAAAACCCCUUUCCGCGACGGCAUUUGGAACCAUCCCAAGUGAGUGUGGGCGAUAGGGGGGGGGUCCUUCCCACACGACCCAGAAACCGUCAGGGAUAGGGCCCCUACAGUACUCCUACUUGUUUCUGCUUGCAUUGCCAUCGUAGUCAGUAUUUUGUUGUGCUACGUUUACGAUGCGCGAACCAUCACAAACGGUUCACUAUUACAGAACGUGUAUGAUGCGCGGCCCAUCAUAAAUGGUUCACCGUUAAGAAGAUUAGCUAAUCGUCGUACGAGUGUGUCGGUGGAAAUGAAACCUAUGGGGUCACUGGGAUCCCUUUUACGGUAGGCAGGCGCGGGGUUGUGUGAAGAGCGGGUCUGACAGGGAGCACUUGUUUACACAGGUUCGGGCUGCGAAGAUGCGUAAUACCCUAGUCCUGCUUUGGUGGAUGUAUUUGAGUGUGUUCUUGAGCUAGCUACGAGGUGCAACUUGCCCAAAAGCGCCGAAUCCCUCUCCUGGUUGCCUCGGGCCUCCUUUUAUAGGCAAAAAGGGGUCGCCACAAUGGCACACAGGAGGUGGAAAGGUCUACAGUCGAUGAGCCUAUCCUCUGGGACCGUCGGACAAACACAUUUAAUGCGCUACCAACGUGCCCCCCUCGCUUUAUCGGGGACGCCAAGGAAGCACGUCCCAGCUGUCGCCGCCUCGCCUGGCCUUGACAUGCGUCCGAGCUGAUGGGGCGUUGUGGCACCAUGUUGGCCGGCUGCUGGGCUGGCGCGGUGUUGGAGCCUUCAAGAAGACUUGCAUGCCAUCACACAGGAGCUUGCUGGGUUGGUGUAGAGGCCGCACGUCGCCAUGUAGGCACCUGCUCAACUGGUUGAGCUUCCAGCUGCAUGGGGAGGGCGGUGGAGUCUUGGUUGGUGCAGGCCUGGCAGUGGCCCCGCUGAUGCCCUCGGCAAGGGUCUUGCCGGGGGCCCGACAAGUGUCUUGCCGUGGCGUUGCUGUCAACCCCAGCAAGAGUCUUGCCGGGGUUCUUGUGGAUUUCCUCGGCUAGGAUCCUGCCGAGGGUCACCGUCUUCUGGUCCUCAUCUGAACUCAUAUGUUUAUCAUCUUGAAGAAGAUUUGCAUGCCACCACAGAGGCGCCUGCCGAGCCUUGGCUCCAAUGUAGUUGAUUGGGUUGGAGCCUGUGGGCUCAAGGGUGGCUCGCUUUGCUGGUGUUGGGCAAGUUGCCCCAGCAAGGCCCUUGCCGGGGCUGCGGAGGCUGCGGAGGCAAGGAUCUUGCCGAGGGAGUCCACCUCGCCCUCUUGCUCUCUUGCGCUUCUGGUCUUGGCGUCGCCUUGGUUGUCUUGUGCUUUGGCUUCUCUCUGGCUUCCUUCCUUUGCCCUGCUAAGUGUGUCCGUGGCGCGUGGCUCUGACUGCCCGUGCACAAGUAAAGGGGUCAAAAGGAGAGCCCCUACUUUUGUACACCGACAGGAGUCCCCGGGCCUGGGCCACACAUAAGCGCGACGCGUUGUUGGGCUAGGCCUAGAACGAUGCGCGGGCAGGUGGGGCGGAUUUUACCGCAGUAACUUCUUGUCUGCUAUGCUUCCCCAUGAUCCACGUUGAACGCGUGAUGUGGAGGGUCGUGCGUGAUGUGGGGGUCAUGCGUGGGGCGGUUUUCGCACGCAUGCAUCACAUCGCGGUAAAGAGGCGGCUCGCGCCUUCCCCAUAAAAGGAGGGAUGCAGAGAGGCACGACCCAUUUACUUGGGCGGACUCAGGUCGUGGUCUUCAAGGCGCCCGAGCCCCACGAUCACGGGGUGGGGAGCGGCUGCUUCUCCCUUCCCUUCAAUGCUACUCGCUCGCCAUGUGUCCCUCAUGGAGGUGGCAGGAGGUGGAGGCGGGAAACCGGACCGUCGUUGAUUGGGGCAGCGGGCCGGUCCUGAUUCCCUGUGCCCCUGAUGACCAGAUUGGCCGAGAGGGGCGGCCGAGCCCCGACUCCGCCCCUUUAUAAGAAGGGGAGGGGGCGGCAUUCCACAUUCUUCCAUCAUCCGUCUCCUUCCACCUCCGCUCCUUUCUUCCAUCUGCCGUGGCGAGAGGAAGCACUGGCCCUUCGACGGUGGUGGCGAGGGUUGCUGCUCGUCAGCGUGUUCCUCCUCCCCAAGAGCUCACGGCGGCGGAACCGACCACGAGAGUAAGGGGGAGGGGGCGAGGCCGAGGUCGUCGUGGCGCUCGAGGGAGAGGAGGACGGGGCGGCGCAUCGGCCUCGCCUCCGCCAGCGAUGCCUCCCCCGACGGAGGGCCACGUCGGGGACCAUGCCCGCGAGUUCUUCAUCAGGCUGCGCCGGCCACCGCGUCGCCGCCUCUGUCUUCCUACUGCAUUUGCUCGGGAGAUGGAGCUCGAUCCACCCCAGACCCUGUGGUUGCACAUGAGGGGCUGCGGGAACAGCGGCACGCGGGUCAACGUCGACUUCCCCGCUCCUCACAUCAUGUACCUCCGCCGCGGAUGGAAGACAUUCACUCGCAUCCACAGCCUGACGGCGGGGCUUGUCCUCUACUUCUUGUUAACGGAGGGCAGCUUGCUUUCCAUCAAGGUCUUUGGAGAUCUCAGAACUCGCUUGAAGUGUUGUGUGGAGAGCUCCUCCUCCGACGAAGAUUCCUCCUCAAGCGGGAGUGUUGAGGAGGGCAGCGACAACAACGACGAGUGUAACACCCAUAAUGCGGCUAUAUCUCCCACGUGUUGGGGCUAGACUUAGAGGCAUAGCCGCAUGGUAGGCUUGUCGCAAGAGGGGUAAUCUUCACACAUCCCAUGUACUGAAUAAGAAAGGGAUAAAGAGUUGGCUUACAAUCGCCACUUCACACAAUACAUAAAUAAAUCAUACAUCAUCCAAAGUACAAUCAAAGGUCCGACUAUGGAACCAAAAUAAAAGAAGACAACCCCAAAUGCUAGAUCCCCGAUCAUCCCAACCGCGCUCCGCUACUGAUCAUCAGGAAAAGAAACAUAGUAACGGCCCGAAUCCUCGUCGAACUCCCACUUGAGUUUGGUAGCAUCACUUGCAAUGGUAUCCUCGGCACCUGCAACUGUUUGGAAGUAUCCAUGAGUCACGAGGACUCAGCAAUCUCACACCCGCGAGAUCAAGACUAUUUAAGCUUAUGGGUAGGAGAUGGUAGUGAGGUGGAGCUGCAGCAAGCACUAAGCAAUAUGGUGGCUAACAUACACAAAUAAGAGCCAGAAGAGAGGCAACGCACGGUCGAGAAGCUAUAAGUGAUCAAGAAGUGAUCCUGAAGCUACUUACAUUCAAUCAUAACACGAGACCGUGUUCUCUUCCCGGACUCUGCUGAAAAGAGACCAUCACGGCUACACACGCGGUUGAUUCAUUUUAAUUAAGUUAAGUGUCAAGUUCUCUACAACUAGAUAUUAACAAAUUCCUAUCUGCCACAUAACUGCGGGCAGGGCUCUCGAAAGUUUAUACCCUGCAGGGGUGUCCCAACUUAGCCUAUCACAAGCUCUCACGGUCAAUGAAGGAUAUUCCUUCUCCCGGCAAGACCCGAUCAAUCUCGGAAUCCCGGUUACAAGACAUUUUGACAAUGGUAAAACAAGACCAGCAAAGCUGCCCGAUGUGCCGACAAAUCUCGAUAGGAGUCGCACGUAUCUCGUUCUCAGGGCACACCGGAUAGGUCAAGCUACGAGUAAAACCAACCCUCAAGUUGCCCAGAGGUGGCCCCGCAGAAUGCCCGUUUCGGACCAACACUCAGAGGAGCACUGGCCCGGGGGGGGGGGGUUAAAAUAAAGAUGACCCUUGAGUCUGCUGAACCCAAGGGAAAGGUAUAUGGUGGUAGGUAGGCAAAUGGUAAAACCAUGGUUGAGCCUUGCUGGAGGAGUUUUAUUCAAGGCGAACUAUCAAGGGGUUCCCAUAACACCCAACCGCGUAAGGAACACAAAAUCAAGGAACAUAACACCGGUAUGACGGAAACUAGGGCGGCAAGAGUGGAACAAAACACCAGGCAUAAGGCCGAGCCUUCCACCCUUUACCAAGUAUAUAGAUGCAUUAAAGUAAAUAAGAGACAAUAAUGAUAUCCCAACAAUAUCCAUGUCCCAACAUGGAACAAGCUUCAUCUUCACCUGCAACUAGCAAUGCUAUAAGGAUGGGCUGAGCAAAAGCGGUAACAUAGCCAAACAAUGGUUUGCUAGGAAGGUGGGUUCGAGGCUUGACAUGGCAAUAUGGGAGGCAUGAUAAGUAAGUGGUAGGUAGUGCGACGUAGCGAUAGAACAAACAACUAGCAAGCAAAGAUAGAAGUGAUUUCUAGGGUAUGGUCAUCUUGCCUGCAAAGUUCUCAGAGUUGUUGAAAGCUUGAUCCUCGUAAGCAUUCUCAAUAGGUUCCUCGGUCACGUCUCCCGGCUCUAUCCAAAGCAAGAACACAAGCAAUGGAACAACAAUCAAUCAUGGUGCAAUGCGGGCCAGGCGGCGGAGGGCACGCGGGCCAGGCGGCGGAGGCGGAUCGUCCGAGCGGGACAUGCAUGGGCUCGGCAAGCCACGGUGGAGGUGGGACGGCGGCGACCAUGUGGCGGCGGCUGAGUGGCUAAGGCGACGGGGACAGUGACGUGGCGGCGUCUGAUUGGUCGGGGUGACGCGUUCGGCGGACACGUCCGGCUGCGACGGACUUGUCCGGUGAGGGAGUCCUGGACUACGGGGUCCUCGGGCGUCUGGCCUGUUAUCCGUGGGCCGGACUGAUGGACUGUGAAGACAUGAAGGCCGAAGACUAUACCUGAGUCCGAAUUUGACUCUCCUUGGCAUGGAGGCAAGCUUGGCGACCGACUAUGAAGAUUCCGUCUUAUGUAAACCCUAGAUCCCCCCGGUGUCUAUAUAAACCGGAGGGGAUGGUCCGGAAAGGACACCAUUCAUUACCAUAGUCAUAUAGGCUAGGCUUCUAGGGAUUAGCCAUCAUGAUCUCGUGGUAGAUCAACUCUUGUAACACCCAUAUUCAUCAAUAUCAAUCAAGCAGGACGUAGGGUAUUACCUCCAUAGAGAGGGCCCGAACCUGGGUAAACAUUGUGUCCCCUGUCUCCUGUUACCAUCGAUCCUAGACGCACAGUUUGGGACCCCCUACCCGAGAUCCGCCGGUUUUGACACUGACAUUGGUGCUUUGAUUGAGAGUUCCACUGUGCCAUCGACAAAAGGCUCGAUGGCUCGCCUUGUCCUUAAAGACAACAUCACCCAUGGAGGGGCUCUAGCCCCGGGCCAAACCCUCCGGUUGGGCGGCUUUACUAGGAUCGCCCGUUGGGCCGUUGGGCCGACGAUGACCUCUUGGGCCAUCGAAAACCCCCUUCGCAUCAACUCCGAGCACUCCAAGCAGAUGGAUCCGGCAGAGCUUUCGUCUUUGAACGAACUCCUAGAUCGCAUCGCCUCUUUGGGAAUAGCCACAGAGUACGACCGGAUCGGGCUUAAAACCGAUCAAAGAGAAAUCGAGACCGUACCGGUCACCCACCAUAUUGCGGUAGUCGUGGAGUAGGACAACGAUUUUUCUCCUAUAUUGAAGACGAACUAUGUCUGGAUCGCCGACCAGGAAAAUACGGAUACCCACCCAUGAUAGGAUGCGACCAGCCUUCCGAAUAUAGCAUCGGGCGAUGGUCCUAAACAAUCAGAAGGUAUUCCGGAACCCAUACUGUUAAGCCCAGAAGAUCAUCAGACUCCGGAUAAUCGGUCAGGUCGGGGUUCGGAUUUAAUUCCACCCGCCCACCCGAAUUCAGACACUCUUGUAAGCAUAAAACAACAGUCUCAGGAAACAGUCCACCACUUCUGGGCCAGAUUCCUCCUUGUCAAGGACAAGGUAAAAGAUUGCUGUGACGAAGACGCAAUUUCAGCGUUCUGCAACAAUUGCGCGGAUGAAGGAAUCCUCAACACCAUCAAUCGCCGCCACAUACUGAAAUUUGCUGACUUAGCAACCAUCGUACAAAAAUACAGUGCGAUGGAGAGCACCUGGAAAACUCAGGCAGCUCGCUGGGAACUGCCAGUCCCAACUCAACUCCCCCUACAGGCGAAAAGGGCGCACCCUCGCGGCACGCCCAGUCCAACAGUCAAGAAACACAAAACCGCUAUGCGACACAGCACCGUUCUUAUCGGGUGGCUCGAUGGCCCAUGCAUAAUACAUACAACACUAGAUACCAUGGCAACCCACAACCUUAGAGCAUGUUGGAUUCUACUACAUGUAGCCAAAAGAAGCGAGGAUAUCCUUAUCAAGGACGACUCAGAACGACAUCCCCCAGUGGACGACAACUCAAGAGUAUUUACGGUCUUUGAGACAUUCGCUUCAAAUAACAAGCGCAAAAGGGCGCUCCACGAGCUCGCUGAAGUCUGCCAAAUUGCUAUGAUAAACCCCUGGAACAACACAACUAUAACAUUCAACGCCGGAGAUGAGCCAAAGUACAGAACAAUGCGAGCGCCAGCUGCGUUAGUUCUCAGCCCCAUCGUGGACGGGUUUCGACUUACCAAGGUUCUCAUGGACGGCGGCAGCGGACUAAACCUCAUUUAUGAGGACACACUCCAUAAAAUGGAAAUAGAUAGGAGCCGCAUCAUGCAAAGCAACACAACCUUCCGAGGAAUUAUUCCUAGUCGGGAGGCGCGGUGCGACGGCAAAAUCACCCUUGAUGUAGUAUUCGGCACGCCGGAGAACUACCGGUCUGAAGAAAUAACUUUCCAAGUGGCCCCUUUCAGGAGCGGAUAUCGCGCCCUGUUGGGGCGGGAUGCUUUUACACUCUUUCAGGCCAUACCCCAUUACGGGUAUAUGAAGCUCAAGAUUCAUUAGAGAAAUCAAACACCCGGACAAGUUGGCAAACCUGUUGAUGGUACCAAAGAAGGACAAAUCCUGGCACCUAUGCGUCGAUUUCAAAGACCUCAAUAAGGCUUGCCCUAAGGAUCCCUCCCCCCCACCCCCGCAUUGAUCAAAUCAUCGACGCCACUGCAGGACACGACUCAUUGUGUUUCCUCGAUGCAUAUUCCGGAUACCAUCAAAUCAAAAUGAAGGAGUCCGAUCAAGCCACAACAACAUUUAUCACCCCGUACGGCCCAUUCUGCUUCAACGCCAUGCCCUUUGGGCUCAAGAACGCAGGUGCCACGUACCAACACAUGAUUCAAACAUGCCUGGAGAAACCGAUCGGCAAAAUAGUAGAAGCUUACGUCGAUGAUGUCGUCAUGAAAACCAGACACGUCGAGACACUAAUAGACGACUUACGUCUUGCAUUCGACAACCUCCGGGCAUAUGACAUUAAACUCAACCCAGAAAAGUGUGUCUUCGGCAUCCCUGCUGGAAAACUACUGGGCUUCAUCGUCUCCAAUAGAGGAAUCGAAGCAAACCCAGCCAAAAUCCGAGCUCUGUCACAACUGGCUAGGCCAACAAAUCUUAAGCAAGUUCAAAAGCUUGCGGGCUGCGUAGCAACUCUAAGCCGCUUUAUCUCCAGAUUGGGAGAAAAGGCACUGCCACUCUAUCGCCUUUUACGGUGAAUCGACCACUUCGAGUGGAUGGACGCGACAACUGCCGGAUUGGAGGAAAAAAAAAC
rnacentral:lncRNA from 1 species